rnacentral:lncRNA from 1 species
GAGUAAUGUCUUUGUGACAAGAACUUUCUUUGUCUUUUAUUCCCAUGUUUGAACUAGUAUAGGUCGGGGUUACACAUUAUGGUGCACAUCACUUUAUUUAUCAUCGUUACAUUGAACGCUCAUUGACUAAACAACGAUGAUCCAUCCAUCUUGUAUUGUAGGUCUUCAUUUCAUUGGCCACCGAUGCUUGUAAGACUAGUCUCAUAUGGUUGUUGUUGUGGAUAUGGUUGUUGAGGUUGGUGUGGUUGCUGGGGUUGCUGGGAAAUUGUUUGUUCUGGUUGCUGGGAUAAUUGUUGUUGGGGCUGUAGAAAUGGUUGUUGUGGUUGUUGGGGUAAUGGUUGUUGUGGUUGCAGGAUGGAUGGUUGUUGGGGUUGCUGGGGUUGGGGCUGGGGAAAUGAUUGUUGUGAUUGUUGGGGUUGCUGGGGAAAUGGUUGUUGCGGUCCUAGGAGGAAUGAUUAUUGUGGUUGUUGGGGGAAUGGUUGUUGNNNNNNNNNNNNNNNNNNNNNNNNNNNNNNNNNNNNNNNNNNNNNNNNNNNNNNNNNNNNNNNNNNNNNNNNNNNNNNNNNNNNNNNNNNNNNNNNNNNNNNNNNNNNNNNNNNNNNNNNNNNNNNNNNNNNNNNNNNNNNNNNNNNNNNNNNNNNNNNNNNNNNNNNNNNNNNNNNNNNNNNNNNNNNNNNNNNNNNNNNNNNNNNNNNNNNNNNNNNNNNNNNNNNNNNNNNNNNNNNNNNNNNNNNNNNNNNNNNNNNNNNNNNNNNNNNNNNNNNNNNNNNNNNNNNNNNNNNNNNNNNNNNNNNNNNNNNNNNNNNNNNNNNNNNNNNNNNNNNNNNNNNNNNNNNNNNNNNNNNNNNNNNNNNNNNNNNNNNNNNNNNNNNNNNNNNNNNNNNNNNNNNNNNNNNNNNNNNNNNNNNNNNNNNNNNNNNNNNNNNNNNNNNNNNNNUGCAGGGGGAAUGGUUGUUGGGGAAUUAUUUGUUCUGGUUGCUGGGGGAAUGGUAGUUGGGGCCGGGGAAAUGGUUGUUGGGGUUGCUGGGGGAAUGGCUGUUGUGGUUGCAGAGGGAAUGAUUGUUGGGUCUGGGGAAAUGGUUGUUGUGAUUGCUGGGAAAAUUGUUGUUGGGGUGUGGGAAAUGGUUGUUGCGAUGGAUAUGGUUGCUGUGAUGGAUAUGGUUGUUGUGGAUAUGGCUGUUGUAGAAAUGGUUGUUGUUGAUAGGAAAAUGAUUGUUGAGGUGAUUGUAAUUCUUUGUUGCUAGGGUUUAGCUGCCUAGCGGCAGUGGCGAUGUUCAUCGCCAUGGCAAGGAGGACAAAGAUGAGGAAGGUCUUCAUGUUGGAUUUGUGGUUACUACUGCUUGCUUGCUUUUGAUGCUUGUGGUCUAGGUGUGUGAAGUUUGGAUGAUGAAAUGUGGUCUUGGUGGUGCAUGUGUAUUUAUAGUUUUCAUGGCAUGGCUUGCUUUCUUCUUCCCACUCGCUUUUUGAAAAAGUGCACCAAUGCUUAUCCAACUAAUCAUUUGAUUUGUUGUGUUUGGUGCAACUACUUACUAGCAAGAUUUUGGAUUUUCAUGAUAGUUGCUUUUUGUUGAAAUCAUCUGGUUGUAAGGAAUGUUGGAUAAUGACCAAUGACUCAUCUUCUUCACUUUACACUGCAAACAUUGAUCUAAAUUAUAUCCUUUUUUGAAAUUUAGUUUGUGAAGCUCUACAUGUUGUUAGGCUUAUCUAUAUUGGCAUAGCUUGAGUGGAAUUAAGUUUGUAAGCUUGUGAGCGUCAUUAUGAUGGAUCACACUAUUAAUGUGAUGAUUGUACUACAAAUUAUCUUUCCAAAACUAAUUUUAUGUUUUUUCCCAAUAUGAUUCUAAGACGGAUAACCAGACAUGACUCAUCAAAUAACAAGAUAAACCGAGUAGCAAAUUGGGGUUAUAAGUUAUAACAUGGACUUUUCUCUAAGAUACACUAUCUUGUCUUGCAUGCUCUGUGAAUUUGAAAAGCAUCUACUAAUUUAUAUGCAAUUGAAACAAAAGUAGACCAGAAAGAUAAGCAAUGAAAUGAGAAUACUAUUAUGUGAAGCUCUACAUGUUUGGCAAGCAAUAAGAUACUGGAUACAUCUAUAUCUUCAAUCCUGACAAUUUUUCUCAUCCCUAUCAACUCUUUAUUGGCUGCCUUUACUGUAGUCAUCCCUUAAAUAAAAAUCACUUAAAGAUAAGUUUGGGAGCUAGUACCAGCAUCUAUCAUGUACAAGAUAAAAAACUAAGGCACAUAUAGUAGUCUAUUGACUAUAUUUAAUUUCAUGUGAUGUGAAAGCAUGUGGAGUAUAAGUUGGUUAAAUAUAAAAUUGUCCUUCAUACCAGUAGGGAAAGAAUAUGCAGUAUAAAGAUUAGAGCAUUAUUAAUAUGCUAUUAAAUGCUACAGGAUAAUCGAUAGUUCAAGUUAAGAACAACAAUAGCAUUCCAACUUUUGUUUUGUGCAAGUUAAGAACAUGCUAACAAAGUAACCUAAGCAAAUAAGUGCAACACCUUCACCUAUAAGGAAAUUUUGAAACUACACAAAAUGACCUAUUGUAAAGAAGGAAAAAAAUCUAAAGGUGAAUGAAAAGCAUGUUAAGUACAUUCAGGAUUCGGUUAUGCCUUCAUGGAUAACCUUUUAGAUGGUGACUUGUCAACCUUGAUGUGUGUCGGCAUGGAACGAGGACAAGAAGACAUCGUUACGUCGUACUUUGGGAAUUUCAUCAAACUGGUUGUGUGCGGGAACAAAUAUUUGUCGCCUCCCUGCUCAAAUCUCUCUUCAUGUCACUAAAUCCGACACUCCACCUACCAAAAUCAGCUGCAAGCCAGGGACAAUCAACAGGUUUCUCCGCCCGUAGCAUCUAUCACCAAAAGAAGUUCAGACUAUAGUCUUGUAGUUUAAAAUUUUGUAAUAACAAGCACUACUAGGUUGCUCUUGUUUGUACGUCUUCAUUAUGUACAACCCAUGGAACUUAAAAUGCAUGGGUCAUUCUUCGGUAUAUACAACCAAUGCAACCAAACAUGCAUUGGGCUUUUCUUUGUACAUCUUCAGGUUCUACAACCAAUGCAACAAAAAAUCCAUUGGGCAGUCUUCCAUUCUAGUCGGGCACCAAUAGUUAAACGAGGAGCUAAACAGUGUUGGAGUCUAAAACUACAUACAAUCAUGAAGCAGAGAGAUGCGACUUGGAAGUUGUGCUCCUGUGAGCUCGUAUUUUUGAAGAAAAAAGUAAUAUUUGUAUUUUGAAGUGGGAAAAAGUCCUAAAAAGGGAUGUUUUGCGGGUUAUAACUUACUAUUUUUGAGUCCUGGGCUGCAGGAAGGUCGUAAAAAAUCAAUGUGUUUUCCCAUUCAUGCAUGUUUCUUGGGUUAUAGGUCACGCUUUUGGUGUCCUAGGGAGAUCACUUCCCCAGUUGGGAACAUUAGGUGAUGAUUUUUAGCAAAACUCAUUGUUUUAGCCUAACUAGUUUCGAGGAUUGGUGGACAAGAUUAUCAUGGAACAAAGUGACAACCUUCCUUUUCUUCAUGCCUAAUAUAAACUUAGCAGUCAACUAAAAGUAACUAGCGAUAUCACAGAAUGUUUUUUUGUCAAAAGUAGAUACCACUUCAGGAUUCAACUCGGUUAGUUCAAUCAUAGACAUGUUAAGAGCAGGAUUUACAACUAACUGCAUAGGGAACAUCUCCUUUUAUCGCCCACUAUCUGUCUAUGCACUUUGGUUUUCCCGUAGCAGCACACAAAGCACUUUGUUAGUACCAAUAAUGUGCUCCAACUCUACACAUUAAUCAUCUUGAAUUCUUCUACUGAUGUCGAACAAUGUUAUAUCUUGAAUUCUUCUAACGAGUUCAGAUUAUACUACAUGGGCAAUUUAUCUGGUCCCUGAGAUGCAAGGUCGAUGAACAAUCGCUUCGUCUGAUGAUGAGGGAUUGUUUUUGCCUAAGAAACCAAUACAUGUAACUUCGACGCCAGAUUAAUAAUUGGUAAAACCCAAAUAAAUUAGAUCACGAGCUAAACCAUUUAAUUUUGUAUGCAUUUAAACUUUUGAUACAUAUGAGCUUGUUAAGAUGUUCGCAUAAACACCAUGGUGAUUUGAAGCAAGACAAAGUAAACUUGAACCGCUUGAGCCACUGACUUAAUAAGAACCUCCUUUCCCGUGGCAGAGAUCGUUUUUAAUACAUCCACUCACUUUGGUUCUCUUAUGAAAUCUAGAUUCCUUCGCUAAGGCUAUUGCUCCAGUAUUGUCACAAAAGAUUUUUGUUGGACCCGAUGCACUAGGUAUGACACCUAGAUCGGAUAUGAACUCCUUCAUCCCGACUCCUUCAUUUGCUACUUCCGAAGCAGCUAUGUACUCCUCUUCACAUGUAGAUCCCUCCACGACGCUUUGCUUGAAACUGCACCAACUGACAGCUCCACCAUUCAAUAUAAAUACGUAUCCGGUUUGUGACUUAGAGUCAUCCAGAUCAGUGUCAAAGCUUGCAUCAACGUAACCAUUUACAACGAGCUCUUUGUCACCUCCAUAAAUGAGAAACAUAUCCUUAGUCCUUUUCAGGUAUUUCAAGAUGUUCUUGACCGCUAUCCUAUGAUCCACUCCUGGAUUACUUUGGUACCUCCCUGCUAAACUGAUAGCAAGGCACACAUCUGGUCUGGUACAUAGCAUUGCAUACAUGAUAGAACCUAUUGCUGAAGCAUAGGGAAUGACUUUCAUUUUCUCUCUAUCUUCUGCAUUGGUCGGGCAUUGAGUCUAACUCAACUUCACACCUUGUAACACAGGCAAGAACCCUUUCUUUCCUUGAUCCAUUUUGAACUUCUUCAAAACUUUAUCAAGGUAUGUGCUUUGUGAAUGUCUAAUUAACCGUCUUGACCUAUCUUUAUAGAUCUUGAUGCCCAAUAUAUAAGCAGCUUCACCGAGGUCUUUCAUUGAAAAAUUCUUAUUCAAGUAUCCUUUUAUGCUAUCCAGAAAUUUCGUAUCAUUUUCGAUCAACAAUAUGUCAUCCACAUAUAAUAUCAGAAAUGCUACAAAGCUCCCACUCACUUUAUAAAGGCUUCUCCAAAAGUCUGUAUAAAACCAUAUGAUUUGAUCACACUAUCAAAAUGUAUAUUCCAACUCUGAGAGGCUUGCACCAAUCCAUAAAUGGAUCACUGGGCUUGCACACUUUGUUAACACCUUUUGGAUCGACAAAACCUUUUGGUUGCAUCAUAUACAACUCUUCUUUAAGAUAUCCAUUAAGAAAUGCAGUUUUGACAUCCAUUUGCCAAAUUUCAUAAUCAUAAAAUGCGGCAAUUGCUAACAUGAUUUGGACAGACUUAAGCAUCGCUACGGGUGAGAAGGUCUCAUCAUAAUCAACUCCUUGAACUUGUCGAAAACCUUUCGCAAAAAGUCGAGAUUUGUAGACAGUAACAUUACCAUCAUCGUCAGUCUUCUUCUUGAAGAUCCAUUUAUUCUCUAUGGCUUGCCGAUCAUCGGGAAAGUCAACCAAAGUCCACACUUUGUUCUCAUACAUGGAUCCCAUCUCAGAUUUCAUGGCCUCAAGCCAUUUCGAGGAAUCUGGGCUCAUCAUUGCUUCCUCAUAGUUUGUAGGUUCAUCAUGGUUGAGUAACAUGACCUCCAGAACAGGAUUACCAUACCACUCUUGUUGGGAAUAUGACUACCAGGUAUGACCCGCCCAGGAGGGGCCGGGUCAAUCCUAAUGGCGGGUUACUAAAAGAAGCUCAGUGAAUAUACAAGGCGAUAGUUUAUUAUAAGACUUGUAGUAGGACCAAGCCCAAAGGCGGGUUAAGGCCCAUAAUUGUAAACCGCCAUGUAUAAGAAAGAAUUGUAAAGAAAGGCAUGUAAGAGAAGUCACCGAGCCGGGCACGUUAUAUGAGCCGGCUGGGACUCUGUAGGCCGCCAGGCGUCAACCCGUGUAUAUAAGGGGACGACCCGGUGGCGGCUUAGGGCAAGUAACAUCAAAUCGAGAGCCAUGCAUAGCGUAUUUGCUCCCUGGUCAUCGAAACCUAGCAAUACCACAUCAACUGGACUAGGCUUUACCUUCACCGUAGGGGGCCGAACCAGUAUAAACCUUUCGUGUCCUUUGUCCCGAUUAACCCCUUUAAGCUUCCUAGUUGCGAUGGCUCCACGACUAAGUCCUUUCAGUAGGACAUCUGCCGUGACAAUUCCACGACAGUUGGCGCCCACCGUGGGGCCAUCGCACGAUGGAUUUGAGUUCUUGAAGGGCAGCUUCCAAGGGCUCAAGGGAUACGCUGUGGGCCGGAUAACCAAAAGUUGUCACAGCAAGCUCUACAUCGACGACGCAGGCUGGGGCCCCGAGGCUGGCUCAAUCGAGUACGGGUACCGGGUCCCCUUCGGCGGAAUCCACGUCUUCAUCGGCCGGAUCGGCGAGCCGGGCCCUGAGUCGGACAUCUGCACCGACCUCAUCGAGAUGGCUCAGCGAGUGAGACCUGCCCGGGCUCAACCUGCCGUGAGGCGUGCCUUCGUGGGUUGCAUCCAUGGAGGGGAAUUUUCUGAAGGAUCGAUGGACGGUGGUGAGACAGUCGUUUGCUCUAGCAGUGAGUCGUCCAUAGGCGAGACAGAUUCUUUGUAUCAGCUACAAGAUGGCGGGCUUGGGGGCUGUUCCGAUGGCAGUAGUAUUCCGGACCCCUCUGAGCCGCCGAAUCGAGCCGGAGUCUUCAUGGCUGGCACUCAACCUGGUUAGAAUUCUAUGGCUGCGGCAGCAAUAACCACUGGGUCAGCAGGGGCCGGGUCAGGAGACCCCGCGCGCCCACCGGCUCAGGUACUAAUGGACCUCAUGGAUAGGAUGACGGCCCUGUUGACUGCUGUGGUUGAGCCGGCAGAUAAGGCUCAGCAUGACGCAGAGGUAGCACAGCUACACAGAGAGGUAGCACAGGCCAAGGAAAAUUUAGUGGCGGAAGAUGUCAGGAUGGCCGCGGAACGGGCGGCUCUGGAUGCACGGGCUCGGCAGCUUCAAGCGAAGACUUUCUGGCUCUCGGUGGAUCUGAACGCAUCAAACGAGGUCACGAGGAGAAGGCACCAGAAGGCUCAAUCAUGUCUGCCUCUGACUUACGAUCCUAGGAACCUUUUUCACACACCCGGGACUGGUCCCAGUAACCCGCUGAAGGCAAACCGGAUCACAACACCCGGGACCGGGACGCCGGUUCAACCGCGGGCCAUGGAACCACCGCGUGUGAAUACUGCUCUGCCUCACUACACAGCGAUACCACCGGGUCACUUCUCUAACCCCUUGGAGAACCUUAUUGCUGCGUCGGCUCAUCUGGCGGCUCUCCCGAUGGAAGGUGACUCUUCGACGGCGAUCGAGACACGACGGGUCAGAGAACUUCUUCAGACGGCUCUGGCACAGCAGGAUGCAUAUUCUUAUAGUUGAGAUAGAAUCCAUUCAACCCCUCGCCCAAGCCGGAGCCCAAGCUAUAGCAGGCAUAUGGACUCGGCGGCCAUGUCAAGCAACACCCAGCGCCGUAACCAUCCACGUGGGCGUGACCCGGCCCCGGGCGGAGCUUGUAACUUGGUAGACCAGGAGAGGAUCCGUCAAGAGGCUGAACGGGUGGUUCAACAGGCGGCUGAGCAAGCGGCUCACCAAGCUUUUCCAAUUUAUACAGUGACCUCUGUUGAAGCAGGGGUGGCCACAAGGACAGGAGGAGUCCCUUGUCUUGUGCAGUCUCUGCGUAAUGAGCGUUUACCAAAGGACUUUAAGGGGCCUCGUAAGGUGCCCAAUUACACAGCCGACCUGCAGCCCGGAGCAUGGAUUGAAAGUUACGAGAUGGCCAUGGAGUUAUUAUAAGUCAGUGACGCAGCAAUGGCCAAAUACUUCACCAUGAUGUUGGAUGGAACAGCUCGUACUUGGUUAAAGGGGUUACCGCCCAACUCCAUCGGCUCAUGGGCGGAGUUGAAGGCACGGUUCAUUCAGAACUUUAAAGAUACCUGUAAACAGCCCAUGUCAAUCGUGGACUUGACUAACUGCAAGCAAGAGGAAGGCAAAUCCAUGACCCAUUGGGUGCGCCGGGUCAAGGAAAUAAUACAUUCAUCUGAUAAGAUGGAUGCCAGCUCCACGGUCUUAAUGUUGGAGAAAAAUUACCGUUUUGAACCUCUGAAACAGAAGCUGGGGCGGCUCAAGCAUGAUUGUAAUGACAUGGGCCAGUUGAUGGCGGCUCUGGUCAAAUAUGCUGACUCUGACAGUACCAAGGAUCCCAUGUCUGACGAAGAGAAGACGAGGAAGGGAAAGAAGAACGGCAACGGCAAGGGUCACCAGCAUAACCCGACAAAUCAAGGAGGUAAUAAACGCAAGGCUGACGAGUUUGUGGCUAACACCAAUGCACAUGGCAACAACCAAUGGCGCAAGGGGAGGCCACCUCCUCGGUCAGGCGGAUCAGGUCCCACCCUCGAGCAACUACUAAAUGAACCCUGUCCGGGACAUGGCACCCGGGAGAAGCCGGCUACCCAUCUGUGGAAGGAUUGUACGAUCAUGAAGGCUUUUAAGAAUUCUAACAUGUUUGAUGGUAACCACGGGCCUGCUGGCGGCUCAGGCGGUGGCGGUUUUCAUGGCCAAGGCCAUCCGGGUAGUCAAGGCGAUUAUAGUCAGCAAUCCGGCCAGGGCAGUCAGCAACAGCAGCAACAGCCCGUGUAUCAGAGUAACCCAAAACAGCUGAACAGUGGACAGUACCAUGUGUUUACCACCAGUUUGUGCAAGAGGGACCAGAAGCUUCAGAAGAGGGAUGUAAAUGCUAUUGAGCCGGCGGUUCCACGUUAUUUGAGAUGGUCUGAACAACCUAUUCUGUGGAGUAGGGAAGAUCACCCACCCCGGGUUGAUAAUCCGGGUCAUCUGGCUUUGGUGGUGGCGCCUCAGGUUGGUGGAUAUAAGUUCACUAAAGUGCUCAUGGACGGAGGCAGUAGCAUCAACGUCCUCUAUUAUGAGACGUUCUGUCGCAUGGGGUUGACUGAUAAGAGUCUUAAAACAUCCAACACUGUUUUUAUGGGGUAGUGCCUGGUAAGUCGGCGUACCCAGUUGGUAAAAUUGAGCUGGAAGUGGCCUUUGGAGAUGAGUAUGAUUCUAGGGCUGAGAAGCUAACUUUUGAAGUGGUUAAAAUCAAGAGCCCAUAUCACGCUCUGUUUGGACGGCCGGCUUAUGCUAAGUUCAUGGCCCGGCCGUGUUAUGUGUAUUUGCAGCUCAAAAUGUUGGGUUAUAAAGGCACUAUCAUAGUACAUGGAAGCCGGAAAAUAGCCCUGGAAUGUGAAGAAGGUGAUGCUGCAUAUGCCGAGUCUGUUUGUGCAACAGAGGAAUUGAAGUUUUAUAAGGAUAAUGUUGACCCGGCAAACAUGGCGUCUUUGAAGAAGCCAACUACGGAGCAUGAGCCGGCAUUGAAAUUCAAGUCCGCUGAUGACACCAAGAUGAUUGAUUUCGUGUCUGGCGACUCAUCCAGACACUUCAUUAUCAGUGCUAACUUGGAUCCAAAAUAGGAAAGCGUGCUCAUCGAGUUCAUCCAUGAGAACCGGGACAUCAUUGCAUGGAAGCCUUCUGACAUGCCGGGUGUUCCGAGAGAACUCGUUGAGCACACUCUCAAUAUUCAUCCAAAGUUUAAGAUGGUCGGGCAAUUUCUUCGGCGGUUUAACGAGGAAAGGUGCAAGGCCAUUGGAGAAGAGGUGGCCCGGCUCUUGGCGGCCGGGUUCAUUGUUGAAGUUUUUCACCCAGAGUGGUUGGCUAACUCGGUGCUUGUGCUUAAAAAGAACGGCACCUGGCGCAUGUGUGUGGAUUACACAAAUUUAAACAAGGCUCGUCCAGCUGAUCCUUUUGCUCUCCCUCGUAUUGAUCAAAUCAUUGAUGCUACGGAGGGUUGUGAGCGUUUGAGUUUUCUGGAUGCUUAUUCGGGUUAUCAUCAGAUCAAGAUGGCAGUUAAGGACCAGGAGAAAACAGCUUUCAUCACUCCGUUUGGAGCCUUCUGCUAUGUGUCUAUGCCUUUUGGGCUCAAGAGUGCCCACGCGACUUAUCAGCGGUGUGUACAAAAUUGCCUUCAUAAUCAGAUUGGGUGUAAUGUUCAUGCUUAUGUGGAUGAUAUAGUGGUGAAAUCCAGAGAGAAGGAAACCUUAGUAGCUGAUCUAAAGGAAACCUUUGGUAACCUCCGGGUCUACAAGAUGAUGCUUAACCCGGCCAAGUGUGUUUUUGGAGUCCCAGCUGGCAAGCUCUUGGGUUUUUUGGUGUCUAAUGGAGGCAUUGAGGCUAACUCGGAGAAAAUAAAGGCAACCACGUCUUUGGCUAAACCGGCAUGCAUCAAUGACGUUCAGCGGCUGGCGGGCCGUGUCGCAGCUUUAAGCCGGUUUAUAAGUCGGUUGGGCGAGAAGGCUAUGCCAUUGUAUCAAAUGAUGAAAAAGGUGGAUGACUUUGUAUGGAGUGACGCUGCUGAUUCCGCUUUUGAAGGUUUGAAAAGACAGCUUGCUGGGCCACCUAUUCUUGCUGCCCCCGUUGAGAAGGAGCCGCUAUUGUUAUAUGUGGCUGCUAACUCACAAGCCGUCGGCAUGGCCAUUAUUGUGGAGCGCAAGGAGGUUGGCAAGGAACAUCCAGUUCAAUGGCCGGUUUACUACGUCAGUGAGGUGCUCAUUGGAUCCAAGAAAAGAUACCCACAUUAGCAAAAACUUGUUUAUGGGGUGUUCAUGGCAAGCCGGAAGCUUAAGCAUUACUUCCAGGGUCAUCCUAUCACUGUGGUUAGCUCUGCUCCUUUAGGAGAUAUUAUUUAGAACAGAGAAGCCACAGGACGAGUCGCCAAGUGGGCCAUUGAGCUUGGGGUCUCAUAAUAUAAAGUAUGUGCCACGUACGGCUAUUAAGUCUCAAGCACUGGUGGACUUCAUUAAUGAUUGGACGGAGUUACAGACACCUGAAGAGAAGCCAGACAACACAUAUUGGACGAUUCAUUUCGAUGGGUCCAGGCAGUUGGAAGGCUCGGGGGCUGGAGUUGUGUUAACUUCUCCUCGAGGUGACAAGUUUUGUUAUGUGUUGCGAUUGAUGUUUCCUUGUACUAACAAUGCAGCAGAAUAUGGGGCCUUGCUCCAUGGUCUUCGAAUGGCUAAAGAGAUGAGUUUAAGACGGGUACGGUGCCUUGGCGACUCAGAUUUGGUGGCUCGGCAGGUGUCAGGCAAGUGGGAUUCCAAGGACCCUCUCAUGGCGGCUUAUCGCCGGGAAGUUGAUGAUGUUGUUGGACAUUUCAAAGGUUAUCAGGUGGAGCACAUUGACCGCAGAAAAAACAAAGCGGCUGAUGCUUUAAGCCGGUUGGGAUCACAGCGUAAGCUGGUGCCACCUAACACUUUUCUAGAUGUUCUUCAAAACCCUUCUGUCAAACUGCCUACAGAGGAAGAUUUGGUCAUUCCAGACCCGGAGGCACAGUUAGUAGCGGCUCUUCAUGUUAUUCCAGAUUGGACAUUACCGUAUUUGGCUUACAUGACCCGGGGUGAGUUGCCAGAGGAUGAGACCUUGGCUCGACAGAUAACCCGACGGUCUAAGUCAAUGACAAUUUCCAAUGGUGAGUUGUAUCAUCGCAGCGUCACUGGAGUGUUUCAACGUUGUGUCUCUCCCGAAGAAGGUCAAGAAAUUCUUCGUGAGAUCCAUGAAGGGGAUUGUGGUCAUCACGCUGGUUCAAAGUCUCUUGUGGCUAAAGCUUUUCGUCAUUGUUUUUACUGGCUAACGGCUCACGCUGAUGCAGAGGAUCUGGUCAGUAGGUGUGAUGGGUGUCAAAAAUUUGCACGACGAGCGCACGUGCCGGCUUAAGAAUUGCGGAUGAUUCCAAUCACUUGGCCGUUUGCAGUCUGGGGGCUUGACAUGGUUGGACCUUUUAAAAGAUCCAAGGAUAAAAAGACACAUCUUUUGGUGGUAGUUCACAAAUUUACAAAAUGGGUUGAGGCAGAGCCGGUUAGUAAGUGUGAUGCAGCCACGAUGGUUCAGUUCAUGAAAAAGGUGAUCUUUCGUUUUGGCUUUCCACAUAGCAUUAUAACUGACAAUGGUACUAAUCUGUCCAAAGGCAACAUGGAGGAGUUUUGUCAAUGUGAGCAUAUCCGGCUUGAUGUUUUGUCUGUAGCUCACCCCCAAUCCAAUGGUCAAGCUGAGAGAGCAAAUCAGGAAAUCCUAAAAGGUCUCAAGCCCGACUUAUGGUUCGUUUACAACGGACGCCGGGUUGUUGGGUGGAGGAAUUACCCUCGGUGCUGUGGAGUAUCAAUACCACUCCUAACAGAUCUACAGGUUAUACACCUUUCUUCAUGGUUUAUGGAGCAGAAGCAGUUCUGCCUAGUGACAUCCGUCAUGACUCACCUCGCGUGGCGGCCUAUGUUGAAGCUGAUAAUGAACAAGCCCGACAGGAUGCACUUGACUUGUUAGAUGAGGAGAGAGAUUUGGCAGUGGCUCAAUCAGCAAUUUAUCAACAAGACUUGCGCCGUUAUCACAGCCGCCGGGUUAAGUCCAGAACCUUUCAAGAAGGUGACCUAGUGCUCCGGCUCAUCCAGGAUCUGUCUGAUGCACACAAGCUAUCCCCGCCUUGGGAAGGACCCUUUGUGGUCAACAAGAACUUAAACAAUGGGUCAUAUUACCUCAUUGAUGUUCGAGAGCACAAAGACCCACGUAAGUCGGAGGAGGAGACCCGCCGGCCGUGGAACAUCGCUCAGCUUCGGCCAUACUACACUUAAACCAUCGGCUCUCAUCAUGUACAUACUUUGACGUUGUAUAUAAUAUGAUAAGUAAUAAAGCAGGACCUCUGUCCUUUUUCCCCUUCAAUGAUCAUAUAUCUUUAUUAUUUUCAUUAUUUAAAAUGACCAUUAGGGGGCUGAUCGUAUCCGAAUCUAGCUUAACCCUUUUGGUCCGGCUCAUGAUCGUAUUCGAAUCUAGCCGUAAAACUCAUGGUCACUUGGGGGCUUCCUGUUCAAACAUAGGUCGUAUUCGAACCAAAGAGAACAUAGCUGUCGUAACCCUCUUGAUCGGCUCAAAGCCAAACUCACUAGGGGGCUUCUUGAUCGUAUCUGAAUCAUAGCUUAACCCCUUUUUGGGUCCAACUUGGAUCGUAUUCGAAUCAGGGUCGUUAAAAACCUCUCAAGGUCAUUUGGGGGCUUCCUAUUCAAACAUAGGUCGUAUUCGAACCAAAGAGAACAUAGCUGUCGGUACCCUCUUGAUCGGCGCAACGCCAAAGCCACUGGGGGCUAUAUGAUCGUAUCCGAAUCUUAGCUUAACCCCUUUGGUCCGGUUUACUGAUCGUAUUCGAAUUAGAAGCCUCCAGUUUUUAUUUAAAUGUUUGAUUUACAUUGUCUGAAGCCUAGUGUUUUAUCUUACUAUUUUUAUCGUCUCAAAUCUAACUGUUAGUAUGGUUUCAAAUUAAACCGGCUUGGCUAUUUGACAAUGUGUCGCCAAGGCAUAACAGUCAUCAGACAUAUGGAAGUAUUGACUUCUAAAAAAGAUUGGGUUAUCAACCUCAUCAUCCGGGUCAUGUAAACCGACAGUCCAUGUUCAAAAACCACAGGUAUGACAGUGUCAUUCAUGAACAGACUUCCCUGGGUUUUUCGUCAGUCAAAGGAUUUUUCAGCCUUGUUUAUCUUACAUCUGGUUCUAUUUUUUCCACUAUGAUAAUUUCAUAAUCAUGUACCGGGUGUUUUGACCCGUCCGGUGCUAAGCCACCGGGACAGUUUUUUUCAUCUUUUACAGGAACAGAGUUAAAACAUUACAGAUGUAACCACGAUGUAAUGCAUAUAUAUAUUGACAUCAUGGGCAAAGAGUCAUAUGAAACAUCUUAUGCACGAUGGCAUAGGCAAAAUAUGCAAUUUUCAAACUAACCUAUUACAAGGCAUUGAGAGCCCAAAAGGUUAAACGGUUUUCUCUCUUAAGCAGGUCUUAAGCUAAAAACUGGAUUGUUCAGAUGGUUAUGACUCCUCCCUGGCCGUUUCACCUCCCUCCACUGGUUGGAAGCUGGGAUUGGACCAGUCAAAGCCGUUCAGAGCAAUGAACUCAGCCUCAUCGUCAAUUAGGCCGGCCGGGUCAAUUUGCAGGGCAAAAGUGUGUUGACGAACCGGCGGGAUAAGAUCCAUCACUUUAUAAGAGGGAGUCGCCAUCUUUUUAUUCUCCAUAUCAAAACCCGACUGAUAUUUUUCGAUGUUGGUCUCCUCACCAAGAAUGGUAGCCUGAGGACGAACUCCCCUCACACAAGCAAUAAAGUCAUCUUGCUCAAACGGAGUCCCGUCUUCCUUCAUGGUAGGGUACCCCUUAGCCACGUCCACCGGGUGUAAAUCGGGCACCCAGGCUUUGGAGCGGCUCAGGGCAGUCAGGGCUCCGACUCUGGCACAAGAUCGUUUGACCUCUUGAAAUCUGGCGGGUAAGAUCGAUAACUUCUUCAAAACAUCACUUAAACGGUUGGGUCCUUGGUUGGCAGGGGAUAUAUAUAGUAGAAAGUGCUCGUUGAGCACCAGUGUACAGUUGCUCCACCAAGGUAUAAACCGCCUUCAGUUUUGUCACACUAUCUUGACUCAGAUAUUUUACUUCGUGGACCUGUGAGUACUUUUUAACAAAGGCUCAGCAGGCGGCUUAUAUUUCUGGUUAAAAUAAAGUAUAAGUGACUAAUGCAAAUGACUUACCAAAGAUGGCGGAGACCAUUUGAUACACACGGUUUUUUAAGCCGGUGAGCUCCAUGGUAACCUCCUCAAGAGUCGCCUCUGCUGUCUUGGCACGUUGUGUCAGCAAGGUCUUCUCAUCGGCCCAGGAUUUCUUCUUCUCAGUCACACUGGUCUUCAAUUUUUCAGUUUUAGAGAGACUCAAUUGGAGUUUGGAGUUAGCAGUCUUUAUCUCCGCUUCUUGAUCCGCCAGCCGGGUCUUUGCAUCCGUCAAUUGAGAUCCCAAUUCAGUUAGGGCGGUCUACAAACAUGCAUAGGUGUGUCAAAAUUUAAACACAAGUUAUAUUGAUUAAAGUCGCGAGUGCUUUGCAACGCAACACCACUUGGCACUUGGGGGCUAAUGUCUGCCAAAGCAAUUUUAUGCAAAAUGACUCUUCUAUGUUUCAAGUCCCAAGUGUUUUACAAAGUAACAACGCUUGGCACUUGGGGGCUAAUGCAUGAUAUUCAGAAAGUUUUUCAAGAUGAGCCGGAUCACACUACUUAUUUGGACUAAUCUAAGACAGUUAUGAAGUUAAGUACCGGGUCAUUUAUGAUAAAUUGAGCCGGCCCUUGGGGACUACAUGUGAAGUUUAUACUAAUCCGUUGAACUUAGGAAAAAUCUAAAGACAAGGUAUCAACCUAUAUCAUAAGUCUACAGAUCAUUCAGGUUCAUCAUAAUCUGAAGACUUGGGGGCUGGCAGAGUAUAUAUAAACCGGAGAACGUACCUCAUAUUCUGUAACAUCCCAAAUUUUCAAUUUGGAAUGUUACACGUUAGGUCAUCAUGCAUAUCAUAUUUUAUUUUUCUUUUGGUUUUGAUCCUAGAAAAUCCUAAGCAACUCAAGGACCCACGGAGAGAGUUGGGGAUUUCAUUAUUUACAUAUUUGAGUUUUCUCAAAUUAUGUAAACAGGAUCAUUUGAUUUUAUUUAUUCUAUCAUCAAUUAUUUCUAUUACAAAAAUAUGAGAGAGGGAAUAAAAUGACUUUUCCAAAAUAUAGAAAUAUUGAGGAUUUAAUAAAAAAUCAAAUAAGUUUUAUUUCGGAGUUUUUUGGUAUUUUUAUUUGAAUUUAGGAAAAAUGCGCGUUUUUCAAAUUGUAGUUUGGGCCCAGAUAAAUGUUCACUUUAUCGGGCUUGAUUUUAGGAACCCGGCAAAAUUUAUUUCGUGAUUUUUGGAGUCCGUUUAGUAUUUCUUUUUAUUUUUCUUCCGAGCGGAUUUAAAAAAAAACUAGAACCGACUCCGUGCCGUAACCGGCCAGGAAACCUCCGCCCGGGGCCUUUAUAUAGCGCCCGAACCGGCCGAGAGAGAGAGAGAGGCCCGAAGCCAGCUAACCCUAACCCUAGCUAAGCCGCCGCCGCCUCCCAGCCGUCGCCGCCCGCCGCUGCCGACUCGCCGGAGCGCGCGCCUUUCGAGGUUCGCCGCCGCCUCGUUUUCCGUGAAGUUUUUUUUUAAAAAAAAAAUCUGUUCGUCGUUUUUCUUUUUCGUCGGAUUUUCCGCGGUUAUUUUCUGAUCGCGAUUUCUGAUCCGGUUUUCGUUUUAGUAUAACUUUUCGCUCGUUUAUCGGAAUCAGGCGAUUCAAGCGCCUGGAGUUUCGUCUCGAAACCCUCUUUCCGAAUAAUCAACUUAAACAAGUUUUUGCUACUGUAAAAUUUGCCCUAGAUCCAGAUUACUAGAAGGAAGUUGUUUUUUUUGCCGUUUGAUUUCUUUCGCUUCGUUCGAUUUGAUUCUUUUGCCAACCAGGGUUCUUAAGUUGAACUUUCUGGUUAGAUCUUCUAUUUGAGUUUUACUUGUGCAUUAGAUGAGUACUUAUUGUAUGCUUGAUGUUUGUCUGUGAUAGAAUACCCGGAGUGCGCCGCCUGUUACUUCGAAUCUCUAGGUUUCGCGGAUCAUCAGCAAGGCAAGUAACACUUUGAUCAUACCUUUUCUACAACCCAGUUUUAUUGCAUUAGAUCAAUCCUCACACAUUGCAUGAUUAGGAUCUAAUUAAAUUGUGGGAUGGGAAGUAGAUGAGGUAGUACCUAUUACCUGUUUAUUAUCAAACCUUUGGGAGUUACUUCUACGUUUGCUUAUGCCAUGUUAUGCCGGUAGACGUGGAUUGGGUGAGUGAUAUCCAUGACAGAUGUGAGAUUUAUAAUUAAGGGUUAUCUAAGGUGGCAACCUAACACACAUCUGGGUGGAUUGAGGCACCUGGGGUUACCAGGACUUGCCUGUUUUCUUUUGGACCGCCACCCAGGCCCAAAGGGAUCAUGAGAUUUUUCAUACUAGAAACUUCCGUGUGCAGCCACAAGCCAUUAUGGGCUCUGGCAUAGUUGACUAAGUUGUGCGAACUCUUACAGUGGUAGACUAGCAGAUGUAGGGGAAAGUAGGUGUACCGGUCUACCCGUCGUAAGGUGCUAGCGCUUCUGAAAGACUGUGUCUCGGUCAUCCGUUUCUCAAACACCUUGUAGUGCGAGAAACCAAACGGAGGUGAUCGAGUCUUGUGGGGAAAAGUGCGCAAACCUCUGCAGAGUGUAACAAACUAAUCAUGGUUAGCCGUGUCCCUGAUUAUGGACAUCUUGAGUAUCUAUUACCUGGAUUAUCAUGUGAAUCUCAACAUGUUACUCUAAAAUUAAUUUUGUGGGAUUUUAAUGAUGUUACUUAAUUGGGAUUGAGGAUGCUGUCAACCAUUCUCAAUGUUUAACAACCACCAUGAUAGUAAUUAAUUUUAUUCCUUUGAAGUAGGGAAAAAUUGGCUUUACGCAAAAACUGUAACCAUAGAGCUUUCCACCAGCCAAAUAUGCAUAUAGUAUAGUUGUUGCAUUCCAUUACUCUCUAUGUGUUACCUUGCCAGCAUAUUCCAUGUGCUGACCCGUUUCGGGCUGCAACGUUAAUGUUGCAGACUUUUCAGAUGACGAUUGAGGAAUUUUAGGUCGUGGUUCUAUACUCAGUGAUGCCGUUGGAGUUGAUGGACUCACUUAUCUUCCAAGCCUUCCGCUGUUAUCGUUAUUAGAUGGCCUUAAGCCAUAUUUAUUGUAAUAAGUUCUCUUUUGAGACACUCGAUGUAAUAAGUGUGUGAUUGCUACUCUGCUAUAAAUCCUCCGAGUACUGUGUGGUGUCAGCAUUACUGAUCCAAGGAUGACAUCGGAGCACAGAGAUCAGACUGUUUAAGGUCUGGUCGCUACAUAUUCCAGUUGCAAUUGCUUGACCAUCUCAAUUUCCGAGUCACGGCUGGAAUGCACAGGACUGAGAUAGCCGGACAGCAUGUCACUAACAUUCAGAUGAGCAUAGUGAGAGAUAUCAAAUUGUACUUUCUGUCUUUCCAAGGCCUCCUGUUUAGCAGAAUGCCUGGCCAGCACAGUCGGAUUACCCGGCGCAACAAAUCUGCUGCCAGUGAUCAAAACGUCAUGGUCAGAAGAUGCUGGCAGGUUAGCUGAACCGGACGGUCUGACGGUGGAUGGAUCGACAAUGGUUUCGUCAGCUGACGGCUCAGGAGGGUCCAAUUGAGCAUGGACAGCUAAAUCUUCUGGCGCUUCAGAUUGAGUGGGAGGAGUUGAUGUUGCCAGUUCAGGUGCAGGAUUUUUUGGGUCCUCUGCCGGUUUAAUCACCUUGGCUUUCUUGGACUUUGCUUGACCGCUAAGAAAGAUUUUUAUGAAAUAGUUAGUAUAAUGAUGCAGUUUUAAAAAUGUAGAGGAAAGAUGAUUUUCCUUACCCAUGGGCAGUCUUGAAAGCCGGAAAUUGAGUUUGGGAUGAGUCGCCAGAAGAGCGAGAGACCUCCUGCAAAGGUAAAAUAAAGUUAAGAAUAUAAGGAAAUAAAUUCAUGGAUAAAAACAAAGGACAAAGGUGAAAGAAACCUCAUUCUGGCGUUUUUGAGGAGUUUUUUCUAAGUCGAAAGGUGGUUCAUCAUCAUCAUUAGUCCGGGCCAGAUGGCGGCUCUCAUGUUGCUGCUUUUUCAAAAGAAAAUGAGGGUCCAAAUAAGCCAAAGGGUGCAAAAACCUUACUUUCCGGGUUACCAGUCGAAGUUUCUGUCUCGGCAAAGGGGCUGAGUCGUAGGAAAUAGUUACCUCUUCUUCCGCGGCCUGGCUGGCCCCCGUGUCAUCCUGGCAAUAGUCAGUGUCAAUAAGAUAGUUGAAAAUUUGGCCAAGGGAGAAAGGGCUACCUCCGACUCAGAAACAUCAUCAAGCUGGAAGAUGUCAGAUGCAGUCUUCUUCUUGGGCUUCCGGGUCGUUCUCUUGGCGGCUACGGCAGCGGAUCUAGCCUUCUUGGUAGCUUCAUGAUCAUACUUGGCCUUCCAGAAGUCAGAUUUGUCCUGUAAACAAAUAAAGAGGUUAAAAGGUCAUGCAAGUAUUUAAACUACUGAGGUAAACACAAAAAGAGAAAAAGGUCAAGAAGUUACCUCUGGUGUCGGGUUAAGUUUGCAGAAGGGGUUUAAUCCAACCUUGCUGUAGUCCUCGUAUUUGCCAUUCACGAGGAUGGUAGACAUUGCAACAAUGUCUUCUUCAGUUAAUUGUACAGAGCUAUAACGCAGAGAAUCAUUUGGGCCUCCGCCAUACUUAUACAUCAACUUGGAUCGGCGGCUUAGAGGGAUGACCCGCCAUGAGAUCCAGCAAUGGAUCAGGUCAACUCCGGUUAAGCCAUUUCCCAAUAAAGCUUGAAUCCUUUUGACAGAUGGGAUAAGCUUCUUGCGUUCAGCAGUAGUAAGCUUGUCAGGGAGCACAAACUUGGAAUCAAGACGCUCUUCACGAUAACCCGGCAGUGGUUUUUCAUCAGCCGGUGAUGUAUCUUGGCAGUAGAACCAGGUUUGCUUCCAGUCUUUGGGAUGGCUCGGUAAGACCACUAAAGGAAAAACGGCACCUUGUCAGCGUUGAAUUGAAAUUCUGCCAAGUUCCAAGCUAAGGCCGUUGGUGCACUCAUUCUGGCGGUUCAAGUAAAAGUACUCUCUAAAGAGCUCCACAGUUGGUUCUUCUUGAAGAUAUACCUCACAAAGAACUUGAAAAUUGCAGAUGUUGGAUAUAGGGUUGGGUCCAAUAUCUUGUGGAUGAAGCUUGAAAAAAUGCAGGACAUCUUGGACGAACUUUGAGCCGGGUGGUGAGAAGCCCCGGUUCAUGUGAUCUGUGAAAACGAUAACUUCGCCGUCUUUGGACUAAGGUCGUUCUUCGUCCGGGUCAGGAGCACGAUAAGACAUAACGCUUUUCUCUGGCAAAAAUCCAAUGGUGACAAAUUAUUUCAAGGUAUCUUCAGUAACUGUGGAAGGCACCCGGUUGCAGACAGUUGGCGCUUUUGACGGCAUGAUGAAGAAAGGGCAAGCUGAAAAGAAAGUAAUUUGCCGGUUCAAUUUAUUGGUGGAGUUACAGGUUCAUGAUUAUAGUACAGAUGAGUAAUGGCGGCUUAAGUAAGGGCUAAUGACAUGUAAAGGAAAAAUAAGCCGGAGUCAUAAGCCGCCAUGACUAAAAAGUAUUUGAAGGUUGCCAGAAUCAAAAUUGACUAAAGUGUUGAGACAAACAGGUUUCCCAAGUUGUGGCUAUUAUUAUGGAUCAAAAUGGUUCAGAAAAUAAAAAUAAAGUUAGACCUAGAAAACGAGCACAGAGGAGUUUGUCAGCUCUAAAGAGGCAUUUAUACAGGAGAAGGGGAUCUGUUAGCUUCAAAAAUGGAUGAGAAAUAGCUACCUCAUAAGUUUUGUACUACUUUUAGAUCAAAAGAGGGUGCGGUAAGAGAAGUUGCAACGAAUCUAUGACGAACAACGAAGAACACAAGAAGGAAACCUCCCGAACCCUAAUGCAGAUCUAUGGGGGUGAGAAGGUGAGAGCUUACAGGUGCGGAGCUGCUGCGGAGGAUCGCCACCGUUCUCUGGAUAGACUCAGGGUGAUGCUGCGGCCAGAGUUGAGGACGACGGUGCGCUACGGUGGCGACGGAGCUCGAGCGGCAAAGAAGGUGCGAGAGGAAGAAGAAAGAGGAAGGACUGGCCGAGCCUAUUUAUAAGGGGGUAAGUGAACGGGCAGACGCAAAAAUUGAGGAAGACCAAAGUAAUGAUUAUCCAGCUAAAUGGACGCCUCGAUCUUCGGAAAACAUUUAAGAUAAGGAUCCGUUGAAGAUGAAAUCGUGGUGUUUUUCCAAAUUUUUUCAAUCCUAAUGGUUGGUUAAUAAAAUAAGCUCAGUGAAUAUACAAGGCGAUAGUUUAUUAUAAGACUUGUAGUAGGCCCAAGCCCAAAGGCGGUUUAAGGCCCAUAAUUGUAAACCGCCAUGUAUAAGAAAGACUUGUAAAGAAAGGCAUGUAAGAGAAGUCACCGAGCCGAACACGUUAUAUGAGCCGGCCGGGACUCUGUAGGCUGCCAGGCGUCAACCCAUGUAUAUAAGGGGAUGACCCGGUGGCUGCUUAGGACAAGUAACAUCAAAUCAAGAGCCAUGCAUAGCGUAUUUGCUCCCUGAUCAUCGAAACCUAGCAAUAUCACAUCAACUGGACUAGGCUUUACCUUCACCGUAAGGGGCCGAACCAGUAUAAACCUUUCGUGUCCUUUGUCCCGAUUAACCCCUUUAAGCUUCCUAGUUGCGAUGGCUCCACGGCUAAGUCCUUUCACUAGGACAUCAUCCGUGACAAUUCCACGACAACUCUGGUGCGGAUCUUACUAUGGUUGACCUACGAGGUUCAGCGGUAACUUGAUCUGAAGUUUCAUGAUCAUCAUCAUUAGCUUCCUCACUAAUUGGUGUAGGAAUCACUGGAACUAAUUUCUGUGAUGAACUACUUACCAAUUCGGGAGCAGGUACAAUUGCCUCAUCAAGUUCUACUUUCCUCCCACUCACUUCUUUCGAGAGAAAGUCCUUCUCUAGAAAGGAUCCUUUCUUAGCAACGAAUAUAUUGCCUUCGGAUCUGUGAUAGAAGGUGUACCCAACAGUCUCCUUUGGGUAUCCUAUGAAGACACAUUUCUAUGAUUUGGGUUCGAGCUUAUCAGGUUGAAGCUUUUUCACAUAAGCAUCACAGCCCCAAACUUUAAGAAACGACAACUUAGGUUUCUUGCCAAACCACAGUUCAUAUGGUAUCAUCUCAACGGAUUUAGAUGGUGCCCUAUUUAAAGUGAAUGCAGUCUGAAAGUGCGUUAUAUCGACUAGAGGGGGGGUGAAUAGGCGAUUUUUAUGAAAGUCUUCAAAACAUGGAAGUUUCGAAGACAAACGAUAGAAAUAAACCUAUUACCAUGCAGUGGAAGUUAGACUACACUAGAUAAACCGUAGUCAUGUAUUCAAUGAAGUGAAAGGACAAUGACUAAUAGUAGCUAGGUAGUAAGGAUCAGGCAGGAAGAUAUUAAGAAGCCAAACGGAUCACACAGUCACUCAGUGAAGACAAAAGAUAGAGAAAACAUACAAUGACUUCACACAGAGUAACAGUAAGUAAAGAGAAGGGAAGGAUGAAACCAGUGACUCGUUGAAGACAAAGAUUUGUUGGACCAGUUCCAGUUGCUGUGACAACUGUACGUCUGGUUAGGGCGGCUAGGUAUUUAAACCAAAGGACACACAGUCCCGGACACCCAGUCCUGAACACGCAGCUCAGGACAUCCAGUCCUCACCGUAUUCCCCUUGAGCUAAGGUCACACAGACCUCGCCCAAUCACUCUGGUAAGUCUUCAAGGUAGACUCCCAAACCUUCACAGACUUCGUUCACCGGCAAUCCACAAUGUCUCUUGGAUGCUCAGAACGCGAUGCCUAACCAGCUGGAGGAUGCACAGUCCUCAAGUGUAAUAAGUCUUCAGAUCACUCAGACAAGAAGACUUAAGUGAUGCCUAAUUCUCUUUCGCUCUGGGUGGUUAGGGCUUUAUCCUCGCAAGGAAUUCUCUCUCAAAGGCUUCGAGGUGGGUUGCUCUCAAACGACAAAAGCCGUACUUUGAAUCUGAGUAGCCAACCGUUUAUGGUUGUAGGGGGUGGGCUAUUUAUAGCCACUAGGCAACCCGACCUGAUUUGUCCGAAAUGACCCUGGGUCACUAAGGAACUAACAUGUGUUCCAACGGUCAAAUUUCAAACUCACACGGAAACUUUACUUGGGCUACAAGCAAAGCUGACUUGUCCGACUCUGGACAAGAUUUUCUCUCAUAGUCUUCACUCGAAGACAUAGGUUUUUGUUUAAGCAUCACUUUAGUCAUUCUGACUGGCUCUCUUGGACCCCACUUAACAGUAUGUUGGUUCCUAUGACUCAACACAGAAGAAAAAGAACUACGAAAAAUCUAAGUGUUCAAGCUCCAUAGGCUUCAUGCGGUGUCUUCUCUUGUCAUAGUCUUCAAUGUGAAUAUCUUCAUAUACCACCUUUGACAUCAAUGUCUUCAUACACUUUUAGGGGUCAUCUCUGGUGGGAAAACCGAAUCAAUGAGGUACUUCUACCUGUGUUAUCCUGCAAUUCUCACAAACACAUUAGUCCCUCAACUAGGUUUGUCGUCAAUACUCCAAAACCAACUAGGGGUGGCACUAGAUGCACUUACAAUCUCCCCCCUUUUGGUGAUUGAUGACAAACUAGUUGAAGUUUUCAACGGGGAAUAUAAUGUGUGAAAUUGUAAAGGAUAAGGAAUUGUCUUCAUAAGUUACAAGGGCUCCCCCUGAAGAUGUGCAUAUAAGUAAUUUGCUUUUGGAAUGCAAAUGCACAUGGCAGGUUGUGCUUGUGGAGAUCCACUUCAACUUAUGAUGACAAUCCACUAUGCAUGUGAAAGUAUGUGAAGAUAAUGACAUGCAUAAUGGAAAAUGGAUGUCUGCAGAAUGAUCUAAGUGCGGAAUCUAUCAUCGCACAUGCGGAAUUUAUCAUCACAACACAAGGUAGCAAAUAGGUAGCAGACGACCAUCAAGUUUAAGUGUUACAACUCAAAGAACCAAAUGUUUCAAAACGAGAGUUGUAAGCACGAAGCAAAAUAUAAAACACCCGCCCAUAUGGACCCAUUUGAAGACUAUCAAACUCAUAUGCUUCUCCCCCUUUUGACAGUAAGGACCAAAAAGGUUUGAAGACAUAGAGCCUCUACUCGUUCCCAUGAGGAGUAGGUGAAGCAGCAGGAUCGUUGAUGGUGUUUGGCAGUGCAGACGAGCUUGGAGCAGUGUCGACGUGUGCUGAAGGAGGCGGCGAAGAAGUAGCAUCGUCUUCAUCCUCGAUCACUCUGGCAUUCACGGUUGCAGUAGAGGAAGAGAACUCAGGGUCUUCAAGUGAUGGAGUUCGUCGCAGCACAGCCCUGCGAGGAGGUGUGGAGUCAAACUUGAAGCGCUCAGUGAAGCCAUCCUCUUGCAGAUCAUCUUCAGAACACAGCAGCGUCAGCCCUUUCCAUGUGCGUCGAGAUGUUUCAUGAGCAACAAAGGCGUUCUUGGUGGCAAGAUUGUGAAUGCGAUUAACAUCCACCAAGAGGCUUUGCAUUUGACGCUUUAGCCAGUCAUGAUGCCUAUCCUGUUUCUGAUGAAGGGCCACCAGAAGCUCUCGGUCAUUGAGGACACGAGUGCGCUUCUUGGGUCGUUGAGCAAUGGUGCUAUCAGUGGCUUCAGUAAGAGCAGGAUGCGGGGCACGGGUAGUGCCAGCCAAAGGAUACACACGUGUUACUGCUUCAAUGCCUUCAACGUUCCGAGAGAAACUUUGAUGCUCUGCAUUCUGAAGACUUAGAGGUUCCUUGGCAGGCUCAGGAUAUAUGGCUUCAAUAGACAUAUCCACAUCAGGCAAAAAGAUCCGAUGAUUGCGGGCAGAUGGCUGAUAUGAGAUAGCAGAGUGAAGUUUGAUCAGCCGCAUCACCCAAGGGGCGUAGAACUUCAACCCAAAUAGAUCAGAGCCAGAUGCAGCAAGUUGGCGAAUGAAGAAAUCCUAUGUAUUGAAGCAUUUUCCAUGAAGAAUAUAGAAGACCAAAGUCUUCAUUGCACCUUCCAGCUGGGCAUGGGGAGAAUGUCCUUUGAUUGGCCAGAGAGUUCGCCUUAUGAUAUGAUAAAUGGUCCUUGGCAGAUACUCAAGGUCUUCAACAAAGAACUCCGUGGGAUAAGCAGCAUCUUGGGGCAAUGGCUUCAUCAUACUGAGCAUCUGACUCAUAUUGGGUUCAGUCUUCUGAAAGAUGCUCUCAACAGCUUCAAUGUGAAGCUGACAGCCAUGCUCAUAGAGAUCGCCAGGAGUGGGCAAGCCAGUGAGCUCAAUGAUGUCAAAGACUUUGGCUUCGUGAUGAACAUUUCCAGUCAUCCACUCUAGGACCCAAGUCUUUGGAUCUCUGUUAUACCCGCGGAUGUGAAGUGUGGCAUAGAACUGGAGCAGCAACUCUUCAUUCCAAUGCUCUUGGUCAGUGACGAAUGGUAGCAGCCCAACUUCAUUGAAGCAAUCCAAAGCUUCUUCCAGACAGGCAGACCAGCUAUAGCUUCAAUGUCAAGGCGCUUGUGUGGGAAGAUGCGACCUUUGUUGUAAAGAAUGCAUGAGUAAUAGCUUCGCUGCUGAUAGCUCCAGAACCGAUCAGAUGAUAUUCUUUCCCUGGAGUAGGGGUUCCUGGAGCUAUUGAAGAAUGUGUUGUCUGCUCUGAAGCCAUUGAUGUUAAAGGAGCCAGGUGCUAAUGCAGGACCUGGGAACCUGGGCAAUCUUGGGAUUGGCUUCUGGACCUGAGGCCUGUGCUCAACAUGAUAGUCGAAUUGGGGACCGGCAGCAGACGCAGGAACAGGAGCAGCAGGAUUAGUGGCUUCGCUGACUUCUGGUGCUGUUGGGGGUGAGGGCUCCACAUUAGCUUCAGCCAUGACGGUGUCAGUGGCUUCAGUGGUGUUGGUGGUGGCAGCCUCUAGAUUUUCAACCUCCACUUGACGAGCUGGAGGGUCGGUCAUGAUCACGUUCUCCUCGAGAACCGCUUCUUGGUGGGGCAGGGGAGUAGCAGCUUGUGGAACUUCUUCUUCCGUGGCUGAUGCAGCUAGAUUGUCUUCAGCAGAGACUUGAGGCCUUGGACCUUUGUGAAGCCUGCGCAACGCGGGCGAUGCCUGUGGAGCUGGAGUGGGCUGGGCCUCAUAGUCUUCUUCCUCUUGUUGGCGAUCCGCCCAUGAAGCAUCCUGUGCCAUUGGCGUCAGUGGACGACCAAUGCUGAUGAGUUCGUUGUUUUCAAGCUGAGGAAGAACUGCACCAUCUUCUACAUGGUCAUGUUGACCAAUGUCUUCAGCAGUGAUGGGAUCAGCUGUUGGAAAGUCUUUAGCUUUAUGAGCCUCUGUGGAAGCAGGCUCAUGGAUUGUCAGUUGGCGUUCAGCUUCAGGAUAGACCAUUGAAAUAGGUUCAACUAUCAAAGGCUCUGUGGGAGCAGCCUGUUCCUUCUUGGUCUUUCGUUUCUUCUUGGAGGGGGCAGUAGGAGAGGCUUCAGGAUGUUUCCUCUUCCUGGCUUCAGCCUCAGCAGUCCUUGUCUUCUUGAGCUCUGAAGCGGUUGACCGGCUUUUUGGCUUCAAGCCAGUCAGUCUAGUUGGGAAGACAAUCGGAACUGCUUCCUGCCUUGGUGCGUCGGAUUCAGCCGUAGCAGUCUUCUUCUUCUUCUUUGCGGCCAUCCUAGGGUCAAUGCCAGGACGCCCAAGGGCCUUGCGCUUCUCAGCCUCAUUGUAGGCUUGCACACAUCUGUCAGCCAGAGCCUUCAUGCGCUCACGUGAAUCCCGAGCUUCUGCACAUUUCUUCAGAAAGGCUUCCUUGAGCUCGUGCAUCAUGAUCUUGAAGUUCUUCACUUCUUGCACACUGAGCUUGGCCAUAUGCUUCUUGAACUGAGCCUUUUCAUAGUCAAUCUUCUGCUUUAGUUCAACAACGUGUCGGGCGAUGGCUAGCUCUGAAGCAAUGGCGCCUUGGAAGGCGACACUGAGGCCAAUGGGUAGCUGCAGAUCAUCAAAGCUGAUGUUUGGCAUAUCAAACCACUCGUCAAUGAAGUUGUGGAUGAUGGUUACAUCAAAGAGAGGCAGAUCAUUGAAGAUUUCGGCUUCUUCUUUGCUCUUGAUGAGUUGCUCAAGAGCGUCAUCUGCAAGAUCUUCAUCACUUGACAGAUCAAUGUCAUCAUUGCGCAGAAUGGCAGCAGCUGUUAGCUCUUGGCCGGUGUGUGGCAGAGGCAUCUUGGCCUUCUAGGGCUUGGAGAUGCGUGAUAAAUCUUCGGACUGCACACUGUCUUCAGGAGAUGCAGUUGCCAGUGGCUUCGCCCUUGAGAUUUUUGGUGAAGGGGCAGGCUUUGAAGCUUUGGGCUUCUUCAACUUCUUUGGUGUUGGCGCUGCAGGCGCUUCAUCUGAUUCAGCGUUAGCUGCAGGCUCAUUCACGGUUGUCCCUUGAACCAAGAUAUGGGUGAUGAGUCCUGCAAGGUUGUAGAAAGGACCGACGACAUUGGGUUCCGCAUCGCGUGUGCCGUCAGCCCUUGGAGCAGAAGGACCAGGGUUGAAGUCUAAUCCAAAAGACUUCUUGUUCUGCUUUGCUGAGUUCUUGGCAAACUGGAAGUUGCGCUUGAAUAGAUUGUCGUCACGGCACCAUAGUAGUGACGAUGGGUGUGCAUCUGCAGGCUGUGGCCCACGCACCAUGCAGGGAUAGAAGCCUUGUUCAAUGGCUUCUUCUCUGGACCUGGGUUGAAGAUUCUUGUAUAGGAUGUCUCCCCAUGGUCUCUUGAUGGCAUUUCUCUCAGCAUAUUCCUGGGUCACAAACCGGUAUUUGAACCAUUGUUCUGCCCAAUAUCUUCGAAUCCAUUGGAUUCGGGUCUUGCGCUGAUUAUAAUCCUGUUCAGGAUCUGUCUUGUAAAGCUCUGAGAGGUCAUCAGGAAAAUCUCUUGAUGUCCCCCCACGACGCUGUCUGCCACCCUUCCUUACUGAUUUCUCUGCAGCCAUGAACUUCAAACUGAAAGGCUUCAAAACGUUCAAAGGCUUCAAAGGUUUUCGCUUGCUGGACAAACAGGAACUGGCUUCGGGAGAAUUUAUAUGAUGCUGUAAGAAUUCUGCAAAUGAAUGCAGACUAUGAGAACCAAGGGAUUCUCCCAUGGACAUGUACCUGUGACAACAUUAAGGUGCAAGGGAAGGGGAAGAGGUCAUAUGCAUUCUCAGGAGAUUUUGAAGAUAAAUCAGUUUAGAAGACAUUGACCUCAUCGUGCGAAGACAUUCACUCAUAGAUAAGGAGUUGGUUCCAGAUUUGUACGAAUCCAGUGAUCAGUACAAGUGAGGAAUCUAACUACUUGUGAAGCAUAAGUGAAUAUACUAGGCAUGUUAUGAGAUGCAGUAGGAAAGAGAUCCAACUUGUGUGAAUAGAAACUUCUUAUGGUAGAAAGUGACAAAGCCAUAGGAUCAAAAGGGGCCGUAAAAAGAAGUUUUAUUUACCACACUUGGAACUGCUAGAUGGAGUGGAAGAGGAGGCCGAGCAGUUCGAUCUUCUGUGCCCUAACUUGGCGACGAAGGACACCUACGGCGACGGCGGAGAGGACGAUGUCCGCGGUCGGUGUGAAGACGGCGUCGGAGAGGUUGCGGCAGUGAAGCGCUUCGUCGCCGGCGUCGUCGAGGGCUAGCAGUGGCACUAGGGUUCGUGCGAGGGUGGAAGAAGAGAUGAUGACCGCUGUGAAGGGUGUAUUUAUAGGUACAGGGGCGGCACUGCGUUAUUACACAGGUGCCCCUGGCGAUUCACAUCUGAGGAACACGUGGCCAUCAUGCAGUAUAUUGGGGUUUGUUCCACGUCUCACGCACGCCUAGAUUGUCGGGUGGUCGUUCCUACUUCUCCGGGUUUCAUGUGGAGGAAUGGGCAUUGAAAACGGACUUAAUGUUUGUCUCUGUAUGUUCUGCUGACAAGGACGCAGAGAAGACAUUCGACAGUUUCAAUAGAAUGCAUAUGAUUUGGAGAGAUAGAGUUUGAGAUAGAGAGCACAGAGAGGUUAGGGUCCGAUCACAUUCACUUAGAUCAAAAGAUUCAACAAGAAGACAUAGCUAUAAGUGAAUACUGUAGAGGACAGAACACUAGUAUAUAUAUAUAUAUAUAAUCAACAUAGUGAAGAUAAUCAUGAAAACAUGUUGAGAUUGAAACCAAACCAAAUGUGAAGUCAUAGCAAGGUAAUGCCAUGAGUGAAACACUUCAAAUAGAACAUUUGGUGGUGGCGUUACCCACCGUAUAGGAAGUAUUAGACCCAGACACGGCGCACAAUUAUCGUGGCGCUCCGAAGUCAAAUUCCACAUUAAUGUAUUCACACUUAGAAUGUAUGUCUUCAUUGAUUGAAGAUAUACUUUACUUCGUGUGUUGCACAUCUAAGUCAUCAAUAUGCAUAAGGGUUAGGAUGUGUGCCUGAUCACAGGACAUUUGAGGAUUCCAGGAUAUUUAGCUCACAUCGUAACUUGCAAAAUCUCUUCUCAUCCAAGGGCUUGGUGAAGAUAUCUGCCAAUUGCUCUUCAGUGUUGACGUGUAUGAUAUCAAUAUCUUCCUUCACAACAUGAUCUCUGAGAAAGUGAUGACGAAUUUCAAUGUGCUUUGUCUUCGAGUGCUGAACAGGGUUGUUGGCAAUCUUGAUGGCGCUUUCGUUGUCACAGUAGAGUGGCACUUGCUUCAGAUGAAUGCCAUAGUCCUUGAGGGUUUGCUUCAUCCACAGAAGCUGAGCGCAGCAAGAUCCAGCAGCAAUGUAUUCAGAUUCAGCAGUGGAGAGAGAUACACAGUUCUGCUUCUUUGAAGACCAACAUACAGGUGAUCGUCCCAGAAAAUGACAUGUGCCUGAUGUAGACUUGCGAUCCACCUUGUCACCAGCAUAAUCAGCAUCCGAGAAUCCAACCAGAUCAAACUCUGAGCCCUUUGGAUACCAUAAUCCUAGAGUUGGGGUGUGAGCCAAAUAUCGAAGAAUUCGCUUCACAGCUAGGUGAUGCGACUCCUUUGGUGCCGCUUGAAAUCGAGCACACAUGCAAACACUAAGCAUAAUAUCUGGCCUAGAUGCACAUAGAUAAAGCAAAGAACCAAUCAUGGAGCGGUAUACCUUUUGAUCGAACUCUUUACCAUUGUCGUCAGGACCCAGAUGAUGCUUGGCUGGUAUUGGCGUCGUGAACCCUUUGCAGUCUUGCAUACCGAACUUCUUAAGGCAAUCCUUGAGAUGCUUCUCUUGAGAUAUGAAGAUGCCGUUGCGUUGCUGUCGUAUUUGAAUACCGAGGAAAAACUUCAGCUCUCCAUCAUGGACAUCUGAUAUUGCUCUUGCAUCAUAUAUCCAAACUCUUCACUGUACUUCUGAUUGGUGCAGCCGAAGAUAAUGUCAUCCACAUAUAUUUGGCACACAAACAGUUAACCAUCAUAUGUCUUCGUGAAGAGAGUGGGGUCGAGGGAACCAGGUAUGAAGCCUUUGCUCUUCAGGAAGUAUUUGAGUGUGUCAUACCAGGCCCGAGGGGCUUGUUUGAGGCCAUAUAGUGCCUUGUUGAGCUUGUAUACCGUAUCAGGAUGUUUUAGAUCUUCAGAGCCAGGUGGUUGUGCAACAUACACUUCUUCUUCAAUCUUUCCAUUGAGAAAGGCGCUCUUCACAUCCAUUUGAUAAAGAAGUAUGUUGUGAUGAUUUGCAUAGGCCAGCAGUAUGCGUAUGGCUUCAAGUCUAGCCACAGGAGCAAAUGUUUCAUUGAAGUCAAUGCCUUCCACUUGAGUAUAUCCUUGAGCAACUAGACGAGCUUUGUUUCUGACAACUUGACCAUGCUCAUCUUGCUUGUUGCGGUAUAUCCAUUUUGUGCCUAUUAUGUUGUGCUUCCGAGGAUCAGGACGCUUAACCAGUUCCCAUACAUUAUUCAGCUCAAACCGUUGAAGCUCUUCUUGCAUAGCUUGAAUCCAUUCAGGUUCCAUGAAGGCUUCUUCCACUUUCUUGGGUUCUGUUAUUGAGACGAAUGCGAAGUGCCCACAGAAAUUUGCCAGCUGGGUUGCCCUUGAUCGACUGAGCGGACCAGGUGCAUUGAUGCUGUCAAUUAUUCUCUCAAUUUGCACUUCAUUGGCAACACGAGGAUGUACAGGGCGAAGACUUUGCUCUUGCUGAUCAUUGUCGUUGUUGGAGGGAUUGUCUUCAGGUUGAGCAUUGUCUUCAGGUUGAUCUGGUGCAGAGAUGAUGAGUUCCUCUUCAGGAUGAGCUUUAGAAGGUAUGAUUUCUCCAGUUCCCAUUAGCUUGAUUGAUUCACUGGAUGGAACUUCAUCUAGCACAUUUGGCAGGUGCUCUCUUUGUGAACCGUUAGUCUCAUCGAACCGCACAUCCACGGUUUCAACCACUUUAUAAUGAAAGAGGUUGAAGACUCUGUAGGAGUGCGAAUCCUUUCCAUAUCCAAGCAUAAAACCCUCAUGUGCUUUUGGGGCAAACUUUGAAGUGUGAUGUGGGUCCUUGAUCCAGCACCUUGCGCCAAAUACUCUGAAGUAACUGGCAUUUGGCUUCUUGCCAGUGAGGAGCUCAUACGAUGUCUUGUUCAGAAGCUUGUGAAGAUAAACACGAUUGAUUGUAUGGCAUGCAGUAUCAAUGGCUUCAGGCCAGAAUUUUCUUGGAGUCUUGUAUUCAUCUAGCAUUGUUCUGGCCAUCUCAAUGAGUGUUCUGUUCUUGCAUUCGACGACGCCAUUCUGCUGUGGCGUGUACGGGGCUGAGAAUUCAUGUGUGAUGCCCAAGGUAUCAAGAUAUGUAUCAAGGCCAGUGUUCUUGAAUUCAGUGCCAUUGUCACUUUUGAUGUGCUUUAUCUUGGCACCAUAGUUGUUCAUUGCUCGAUUGGCGAAGCGUUUGAAGACAUCCUGCACUUCAGUCUUGUAAAGGAUUAUAUGCACCCAAGUGUAUCUAGAAUAAUCAUCAAUAAUGAAGAAGCCAUAGAGACAAGCAGUAGUAGUAAGAGUUGAGUAAUGAGUGGGACCGAAAAGAUCCAUGUGAAGCAGCUCGAAGGGUCGAGUAGUAGUCAUGAUUGUCUUCGAGGGAUGCUUGGCCCUCGUCAUCUUUCCUGCUUCACAGGCACCGCAUAAGUGAUCUUUCUUGAACUUGACGCCCUCAAUGCCUAUGACAUGCUUCUUCUUUGCCAGGGUGUGGAGGUUCCUCAUGCCAGCAUGCCCAAGCCUCCGAUGCCAGAGCCAGCAUUCUGAAGCUUUUGCUAGAAGACAUACGGCAAGUUGUGGUCCUGCUGAGAAAUCUACCACGUACAGAUCGUCUUUCCGAUACCCUUCAAACACUAGAGACUUGUCAGAUUCCAUUAGAACAAGGCAACAAUAUUUUCCAAAUAUUACGAUCAUGUUCAAAUCGCAUAGCAUUGAGACAGACAUUAAGUUGAAGCCAAGGGAUUCAACAAGCAUGACUUUAUCCAUGUGUUGAUCCUUUGAGAUUGCAACUCUACCUAGACCCAAUACCUUACUUUUACCAGUGUCAGCAAAUGUGAUGUGGCUCUUGUCGGAAGGACGUAAGGUUGAGUCCAUCAGAAGGCUUCUUUUGCCAGUCAUGUGAUUUGUACACCCACUAUCAGUAAUCCAUUCUGUAUACGCUGGUGUCGUACCCUACAGUGCAGUUAGGGGGAUAGGCUUCACGAAGAGAGUUGUGAAGCAAAAACAUUUGACGAACCAGUGGGUUAUGAAAGCUUAGAUCCAGAUUAGUACUGAUAGGGAGAGUAGCAAGCGAUUCAGGAACGAAGUACAUAGUAAGACCAUUCGGCAUUUGAUCUUGCGCCCUACAAGAUGUUUAAGGUCCCCAGCGAUAGCGUCAGAAGAUUUUGGUUUUCUGCUGGAGACCUUUCCCUGCAAAAGAGAGUUAAGCCUUCUUAACAACCCACAUCUUCAAGGGUGGCUUAGAAGCGAUAAGUCUAAGUGCAGAGUCUGAAAACUUUGGCUUUGGGGCUCUAGCAAAAAGUCUUGCAGGUGGACAAUAAUACUCAUAAGAAUAAGCAGAAUAGUUUUUGGUCUUAUGAACAUGGCGGUUCGAUGAACCGCGCUCAUAUUCAUAGGCCUGAGUAUGGUUUCCCUGCAAAACAUUUGCAUUAGUCCGACUCAGGUGAGUCCUCUGUCUGUAUGAAGCCUUUGGGCCAUAUGAAGCCUGUGGUCUGGGGUUUGUCUUCUUCAUCUAUGGUGUCAUGAUGACAUUCACAGGAAGAUUUUCCAAACACCUUUUGGGCACCCAGACCUUCUUCAUAGGCGGUCCAUUCCUGCAGUUAGUACCAAUGUACCUGGCAAAAACUUCACCAUUCUGAUUCUUAAAUAGUUUAUAGUUUGCAUCAAAGGAUUCAUCAAUGACAAUGGGGUUAGCACAAGUGAAGCCAGAUAGACUGGAUGGAUUUGCUGAAGGUUCCUUUGCAGCAACCCAUGUGGUUUUGGGAUACUGCUCGGGUUUCUAGUAAGAGCCAUCAGCAUUCAUUUUCCUUAUGAACCCAACACCCUCUUUCCUCGGGUUUCGGUUCAGAAUCUGCCUUUUGAGGACAUCACAUAGUGUCUGAUGCCCUUUAAGACUUUUGUACAUCCCUGUUUCAAGCAAUGUCUUCAACCUAGCAUUCUCAUCAGCAAUCGCAGUAGUAUCCUCAGUAGAGGGGUUAGUUACCACAUCAACAGUUGAAGAUAUUGCAACAGUAGCAGUAGUAGAACAUUCAGCAACAGAAGCAGCAUUAUCACGCUCAAUGCAUUUAAGACAUGGUGGUUCAAAUCCUUCCUGAGCGGAACUGAUCUGUUCGGCGCGAAGUGACUCGUUUUCCUUUUGAAGAUCUUCAUGAGCCGCUCUCAAUUUCUCAAGAUCUUGCUUCCUUUGAAGAUAAUCAUAGGAAAGCUUUUCAUGAGUUGUUGAGAGCGUUUCAUGACAACUUUCAAGUUCCUCAUAUUUAACGUGAAGAUUUUUUAUGUCUUGAAUUAAGGAUUCAGAUCGAGUCAUUUCAACGCCCAACAAAUCAUCGCUUUUGUCUAACAGUUUUUGAAUAUGUUCCAUGGCUUUCUGUUGUUCAGUUGCAAUUUUAGCAAGUGUUUUGUAGCUGGGUCUUGAAUCACAAUCAGAGUCAUCAUCACUAGAUGUUUGAUAGUGAGUAGUGCGUGUGUUUACCUUGGCACCGUGUGCCAUGAAGCAGUAGGUAGGAGCAGAGUCGUCCUUGUCAUUUGCAUCGGCGUCGGUGGUGAAGUCAUUGUCUUCAGUGUUGAAGAUGGACUUGGCAACGUAUGCUGUAGCCAGACUUGCAACACCAGAAUCGGACUCCUCCUCAGACUCCACCUCCGCCUCCUCAGACGCGGACUCCUCCUCUGAAUCCAUUUCCUUGCCAACAAACGCACGUGCCUUGCCAGAUGAGCUCUUCUUGUGUGAUGAAGACUUUGAGGAAGACUUGGAAGAAGACUUUGAGUAUUUCUUCUUCUUCUUGUCGUCAGAGUCAUAUUCCUUGCUCUUCUUCUUCUUUCUAUUCUCAUUGUCCCACUGCGGACACUCAGAGAUGAAGUGGCUAGUUUUCUUGCACUUGUGACAUGUUUUCUUCUUGUAGUCAUGAGCAGAAGCUUCAUCAUUCCUUGAGCUUGAUCGUGAAGACUUUCUGAAGCCUUUCUUCUUGGGGAAUCUUUGGAACUUCUUUACAAGCAUAGCAAGUUCCUUUCCAAUGUCUUCAGGAUCGUCAGAACUGCUGUCAGAUUCUUCUUCAGAUGAGGAGACAACUUUUGCCUUCAGGGCACGAGUUCGCCCAUAGUUUGGACCGUAGAUAUCUCUUUUCUCAGAAAGCUGAAACUCAUGUGUGUUGAGCCUCUCAAGUAUGUCGGACGGAUCGAGUAUCUUGAAAUCAGGUCGUUCUUGAAUCAUCAGGGCUAGGGUGUCAAACAAACUGUCAAGUGAUCUCAGUAGUGUCUUGACGACUUCAUGCUUGGUGAUCUCAGUGGCGCCGAGCGCUUGAAGCUCAUUUGUGAUGUCAGUGAGUCGGUCAAAUGUGAGCUGGACAUUCUCAUUGUCAUUUCGCUUGAAGCGGUUAAAGAGGUUGCGAAGAACGCUGAUUCUCUGAUCUCUCUGGGUUGAGACGCCUUCGUUGACCUUGGAGAGCUAGUCCCAGACCAGCUUCGAUGUUUCCAAAGUGCUCACACGGCCAUACUGUCCUUUGGUCAGAUGACCACAGAUAAUGUUCUUGGCAGUAGAGUCCAGUUGAACGAACUUCUUGACAUCAGCAACAGUGACACCUUCUCCAGCCUUGGGAACGCCGUUCUUGACGACAUACCAUAGGUCGACGUCAAUGGCUUCAAGAUGCAUGCGCAUCUUAUUCUUCCAGUAGGGAUAUUCAGUUCCAUCGAAGACGGGGCACGCAACGGAGACUUUAAUUAUCCCUGCAGUCGACAUAGCUAAAACUCCAGGUGGUUAAACCGAAUCACACAGAACAAGGGAGCACCUUGCUCUCAUACCAAUUGAAAGUGCAUUAUAUCGACUAGAGGGGGUGACUAGGCGAUUUUUAUGAAAGUCUUAAAAACAUGGAAGUUUCGAAGACAAAUGAUAGAAAUAAACCUAUUACCAUGCAGCGGAAGUUAGACUACACUAGAUAAACCAUAGUCAUGUAUUCAAUGAAGUGAAAGGACAAUGACUAAUAGUAGCUAGGUAGUAAGGAUCAGGCAGGAAGAUAUUAAGAAGCCAAACGGAUCACACAGUCACUCAGUGAAGACAAAAGAUAGAGCAAACAUACAAUGACUUCACACAGAGUAACAGUAAGUAAAGAGAAGGGAAGGAUGAAACCAGUGACUCGUUGAAGACAAAUAUUUGUUGGACCAGUUCCAGUUGCUGUGACAACUGUACGUCUGGUUAGGGCGGCUAGGUAUUUAAACCAAAGGACACAUAGUCCCGGACACCCAGUCCUGAACACGCAGCUCAGGACACCCAGUCCUCACAGUAUUCCCCUUGAGCUAAGGUCACACAGACCUCGCCCAAUCACUCUGGUAAGUCUUCAAGGUAGACUCCCAAACCUUCACAGACUUCGUUCACCGGCAAUCCACAAUGUCUCUUGGAUGCUAUAACGCGACGCCUAACUGGCUGGAGGAUGCACAGUCCUCAAGUGUAAUAAGUCUUCAUAUCACUCAGACAAGAAGACUUAAGUGAUGCCUAAUUCUCUUUGGCUCUGGGUGGUUAGGGCUUUAUCCUCGCAAGGAAUUCUCUCUCAAAGGCUUCGAGGUGGGUUGCUCUCAAACGACAAAAGCCGUACUCUGAAUCCGAGCAGCCAACCGUUUAUGGUUGUAGGGGGUGGGCUAUUUAUAGCCACUAGGCAACCCGACAUGAUUUGUCCGAAAUGACCCUGGGUCACUAAGGAACUGACACGUGUUCCAACGGUCAGAUUUCAAACUCACACGGCAACUUUACUUGGGCUACAAGCAAAGCUGACUUGUCCGACUCUGGACAAGAUUUGCUCUCAUAGUCUUCACUCGAAGACAUAGGUUUUUGUUUAAGCAUCACUUCAGUCAUUCUGACUGGUUCUCUUGGACCCCACUUAACAGUGCGGUGGUUCCUAUGACUCAACACAGAAGAAAAAGAACUACGAAAGAUCUAAGUCUUCGAGCUCCAUAGGCUUCAUGCAGUGUCUUCUCUUGUCAUAGUCUUCAAUGUGAAUAUCUUCAUAUACCACCUUUGACAUCAAUGUCUUCAUACAUUUUUAGGGGUCAUCUCUGGUGGGAAAACCAAAUCAAUGAGGUACUUCUACCUGUGUUAUCCUGCAAUUCUCAUAAACACAUUAGUCCCUCAACUAGGUUUGUCGUCAAUACUCCAAAACCAACUAGGGGUGGCACUAGAUGCACUUACACAGUCGUCUCUAAAGCAUAACCCCAAAAUGAUAGCAGUAAAUUAGUAAGAGACAUCAUAGAUCGCACCAUAUCUAAUAAAGUGCGGUUACGAUGUUCGGACACACCAUUAUGUUGUGGUGUUCCGUGUGGCGUGAGUUGCGAAACUGUUCUGCAUUGUUUCAAAUGAAGACCAAACACGUAACUCAAAUAUUCACCUCCACGAUCAGAUUGUAGAAACUUUAUUUUCUUGUUACGAUAUUUUUCCUCUUCACUCUGAAUUUUUUUGAACUUUUCAAAUGUUUCAGACUUAUGUUUCAUCAAGUAGAUAUACCCAUAUCUGCUCAAAUCAUCUGUGAAGGUCAGAAAAUAACAAUACCCGCCGCGAGCCUCAACACUCAUCGGACCGCAUACAUCCGUAUGUAUUAUUUCCAACAAGUCUAUUGCUCACUCCAUUGUUCCGGAGAAUGGAGUCUUAGUCAUCUUGCCCAUGAGGCAUGGUUCGCAAGCAUCAAGUGAUUCAUAAUCAAGUGAUUCCAAAAGUCCAUCAGCAUGGAGUUUCUUCAUGCGCUUUACACCAAUAUGACCUAAACGGCAGUGCCACAAAUAAGUUGCACUAUCAUUAUUAACCUUGCAUCUUUUGGCUUCAAUAUUAUGAAUAUGUGUGUCACUAUUGUCGAGAUUCAAUAAAAAUAGAUCACUCAUCAAGGGUGCAUGACCAUAAAAGAUAUUACUCAUAUAAAUAGAACAACCAUUAUUCUCUGAUUUAAAUGAAUAUCCGUCUCGCAUCAAACAAGAUCCAGAUAUAAUGUUCAUGCUUAACGUUGGCACCAAAUAACAAUUAUUCAGGUCUAAAACUAAUCCCGAUGGUAGAUGUAGAGGUAGCAUGCUGACGGCGAUCACAUCGACUUUGGAACCAUUUCCCACGCGCAUCGUCACCUCGUCCUUAGCCAAUCUUCGCUUAAUCCGUAGCCCAUGUUUCGAGUUGCAAAUAUGAGCAACAGAACCAGUAUCAAAUACCUAGGCGCUACUACGAGCAUUAGUAAGGUACACAUUAAUAACAUGUAUAUCAAAUAUACCUUUCACUUUGCCAUCCUUCUUAUCCAUCAAAUACUUGGGGUAGUUCCGCUUCCAAUGACCAGUCCCUUUGUAGUAGAAGCAUUCAGUCUCCGGCUUAGGUCCAGACUUGGGCUUCUUCACUUGAGCAACAACUUGCUUGUCAUUCUUCUUGAAGUUCCCCUUCUUCCCUUUGCCCUUUUUCUUGAUACUGGUGGUCUUGUUGACCAUCAACACUUGAUGCUCCUUCUUGAUUUCUACCUCUACAGCCUUUAGCAUUGCGAAGAGCUCGGGAAUUGUCUUAUCCAUCCCUUGCAUAUUAUAGUUCAUCAUGAAGCUUUUGUAGCUUGGUGGCAGUGAUUGAAGAACUCUGUCAAUGACACUAUCAUCAGGAAGAUUAACUCCUAGUUGAGUCAAGUGGUUGUGGUACCUGGACAUUUUGAGUAUAUGUUCACUAACAAAACUAUUCUCCUCCAUCUUACAGCUGUAGAACUUAUUGGAGACUUCAUAUCUCUCAAUCCGGGCAUUUGCUUGAAAAUUUUACUUCGACUCCUGGAACAUCUCAUAUGCUCCAUGAUGUUCAAAACGUUGUUGAAGUCCCGAUUCUAAGCCGUAAAGCAUGGCACACUAAACUAUCGAGUAGUCAUCGGCUUUGCUCUACCAGACGUUCAUAAUGUCCGGUGUUGCUUGAUACGUCUCCGUCGUAUCUACUUUUCCAAACACUUUUGUCCUUGUUUUGGACUCUAACUUGCAUGAUUUGAAUGGAACUAACCCGGACUGACGCUGUUUUCAGCAGAAUUACCAUGGUGUUAUUUAUGUGUAGAAAUAAAAGUUCUCGGAAUGACCUGAAACUUCAGGGAACGUCUUUUUGGAAAUAAUAAAAAAUCCUUGCAAAAGAUGAAGACCAGGGGGCCCACACCCUAGCCACGAGGGUGGGGGCGCGCCUGCCCCCCUAGGCGCGACCCCUACCUUGUGGGCCCCCUGGAGCUCCUCCGACCUCAACUCCAACUCUAUAUAUUUGCUUUCAGGGAGAAAAAAAUUAGAGAGAAGGAUUCAUCGCGUUUUACAAUACAGAGCCGCCGCCAAGCCCUAAAACCUCUCAGGAGGGCUGAUCUGGAGUCCGUUCGGGGCUCCGGAGAGGGGAAUCCGUCGCCAUCGUCAUCAUCAACCUUCCUCCAUCACCAAUUUCAUGAUGCUCACCGCCGUGCGUGAGUAAUUCCAUCAUAGGCUUGCUGGACGGUGAUGGGUUGGAUGAUAUUUAUCAUGUAAUCGAGUUAGUUUUGUUAGGGUUUGAUCCCUAGUAUCCACUAUGUUGUGAGAUUGAUGUUGCUAUGACUUUGCUAUGCUUAAUGCUUGUCACUAGGGCCCGAGUGCCAUGAUUUCAGAUCUGAACCUAUUAUGUUUUCAUCAAUAUAUGAGUGUUCUUGAUCCUAUCUUGCAAGUCUAUAGUCACCUACUAUGUGUUAUGAUCUGGCAACCCCGAGGUGACAAUAAUAGGGACCACUCCCGGUGAUGACCGUAGUUUGAGGAGUUCAUGUAUUCAUUAUGUGUUAAUGCUUUGGUCUGGUACUCUAUUAAAAGGAGGCCUUAAUAUCCCUUAGUUUCCGCUAGGACCCCGCUGCCACGGGAGGGUAGGACAAAAGAUGUCAUGCAAGUUCUUUUCCAUAAGCACGUAUGACUAUAUUCGAAAUACAUGCCUACAUUACAUUGAUGAAUUGGAGCUAGUUUUGUGUCACCCUAGGUUAUGACUGUUACAUGAUGAACCGCAUCCGGCGUAAUUCUCUAUCACCGAUCCAUUGCCUACGAGCUUUCCAUAUAUUGUUCUUCACUUAUUUACUUUUCCGUUGCUAUUGCUAUCAUCACUACAAAAUACCAAAAACAUUAAUUUUGCUAUCGUUACCUUUUGCUACCGUUACCACUACUAUCAUAUUACGUUGCUACUAAACACUUUACUACAGAUAUUAAGUUUCUAGGUGUGGUUGAAUUGACAACUCAACUUUCAACUGCUAAUACUUGAUAAUAUUCUUUGGCUCCCCUUGUGUCGAAUCAAUAAAUUUGGGUUGAAUACUCUACCCUCGAAAACUGUUGCGAUCCCCUAUACUUGUGGGUUAUCAAGACUAUUUUCUGGCGUCGUUGCCGGGGAGCAUAGCUCUAUUCUUUGAGUCACUUGGGAUUUAUAUCUGUUUAUCAUUAUGAAGAACUUGAGAGAUCCAAAAACCAAGAUUUAUCUCUCAACUACGAGGGGAGGUAAGGAACUGCCAUCUAGCUCUGCACUUGAUUCACCUUCUAUUUUGAGUAAGCUUGCGACACCUAAACCUGCUUCUGCUAUUCAUUCUGAUAUGUCGCAUGUUAUUAAUGAUGCCACUUGUGCUAUGCAUGAUACUUAUGAUGAAACUACUUCUAUGCUUGAUACUACUGUGCCACUUGGUGAAUUUCUUGAUGAACAACUUGCUAGGGUUAGAGAGAAUGAAAUUAUUGAAACUGAUAAUAUAUAUAUAUAUAUUUGAAUAUAUACUGUAGGGUAAAACCCCCACAGCCCUUUAUUGCAGUCUCAAAAAACAAACUGUACAGUGAAAGAAAGAGAUGACAAGCCUAAACGAAAAGUUAAGAAGAACUUACAAUUACAUGAGGGAGUUAACUCAAUCUACAAGCCUAGACUUAGAGCUAUCCUUAAACCUAUGUGACAGGAGAAGAAUGUCAUGUACAAAACUGCCCCUCCAGGCAACAAAAGUAGCCCGUAGUCCCCUGAAAGUUCUUCCAUUUCUCAGAAUCCAUAUAUUCCAAGCAGCUGUGAGCAUAACUUCAAAGAAGAAAGGAUACCCAAAUCGCUGCCUUGCUUGAGAUAUACAUUGCUGAAUAGAAGAACCAUGUGACCAAUCGAUCUGCAGGUAUUUCCAAACCCUGGCACUGAAAUUACAACCAAAGAAUAGGUGAGCCCUGUCCUCCCAAACAAAGGCAUUACAGAUGACACAUAGAUGAUCAGCCGUAGGGGACCUCCGGUGGCUGCGGACCAGCACGUCCUUUGUGUUGAGUCUGUCAAAGAAUAGGAGCCAGCCAAAAACCUUAAUUUUCAUAGUACAUAUGCUCUGCCAAAGCCACCUGCAGGGUUUAAUAGUUGGGAGGUGUGUAUGCAUGAUGUCAUAGAAGCUCUUUGCAGAAAACUGUCCAGAUUUACCAGGCCAAAUCCAAACAUCAGGCAAUGUUGGAUCUCUCUGGAGAUUGAACAUCCUUCCUUCCAAGGAUUCCAAUUCUGCUGCUGCCUGCUGAGAAAUUGGCAGAUGAAACAUUGAGAACAAAUCCUGGGUUUGCAAAAACUCCCUGACAGAAACCUUAUCAUCCAAAACAAAAGAGAAAAGCCUUGGUAAUCUGAGGCUUAGUGGCCUUGAAGAGCCACCUACAUGGCAAGCAUCCAGCCAAAAGAGAGCAGAAUCACCCAUAUUAACUGGCACUGAAGCAAUUGACCUAUAAGUGUCAGCAAGCUUGAGAAUGUCCUUCCACCAAAAGGAGCCAGUUAGGACUGUUGCAUGGGGCACCACUCCAUCAUAAUAACUAUCCCAAAUCAACUGGACCCAAGGAAUCUGCUGUUUGUUGUAGAACUUAUGCAUUUGUUUGAGAAGCAGACCUUGAUUUUGAACAUUGAGGUUGAGAAUGCCAAGUCCUCCCUUAUCCUUUGGUCUGCAAACUAAAUCACAGGCAGCUAGGGAUUGCUUAGGCACAUCAGAAUUUCCUCUCCACAAACACUGCCUGAAAAUCCUAUCCAACUGUUUGAUAAUACCAGGUGGGAUAUGCAAGCUGCAGAGGAAGUAUAUGGGCAUUGAAGUAAGCACAGAUGUGAGAAAUUGUAACCUGGAUCCUUGGUUGAGCAUGGCAGAGCUAACAGACAGUCUUCUUUCAAGACUAUCCACUAAAGGCAUGAAAUCAAUGAUUCUAGGUCUUGUUGUACCAAGAGGCAAACCCAGAUAUGUGAAAGGUAACUGCUCCGGUUUACAUCCCAGGAUGGAAGACAACCUCUGUGCCUCUGUGGGAUCAACAUUUAGUGGCACCAUUGAAGACUUUCCAAAAUUUACCUUUAGGCCAGUAGACUGUUGGAAAAUAUGGAGCAUGUUCUUGAGAGCCACCAACUGGUCCUGUACUGCAGAAAGGAUAAUUAUUGUGUCAUCUGCAUACUGAAUGAUAGGAAAUUCAGGGUCCUAAGAUGGGAUUGGAAGUGUUAGAACUCCCUUAGCCAGCAUGUUAUUGACCAUUGUUUGAAGAAGAUCGGCAGCUAUGACAAAUAAAAGAGGGGAUAGGGGAUCCCCCUGCCUGACCCCACAUUUAUAUUUGAACUGUUUGCCAGGCACCCCAUUAAGCAAAACAGAUGAUGAUCCUGAGGAGAGAAUCUCUUUAAUCCAAGAAAUCCAUUUGGCAUCAAAACCUUUGUGCUGUAGAACUUGCAAGAUGAAGUCAUGCUCCACAGUGUCAAAAGCUUUGGCAAAAUCCAAUUUCAAAAUGAUGGUUGGCCUUUUGGAUUGAUUGCAUUGAUGUAUAUAUUCAAAAGCCCAAGCCAGGCAGUCCUGAAUGGCUCUGCUCUUCAAAAACCCAUAUUGAUUCUUAUGGAUGCAUUGCAGAAUGACCUUUUGAAGCCUAUUUCCCAAAAGCUUAGUAAGGAACUUGAGGCAUGUGUUAGUAAGAGAGAUUGGUCUAAAAUCCUCAAGUCCUUCAGGAGACAACAUCUUUGGAAUUAAGGUGAUAAGGGAUCCAUUAAUAUUUUCCAAAGAUAGCCUCCCAUCAUAAAACCCCUGAAUGAGAGCCAAGAAAUCCUUCUCAAUGAUGGGCCAACACUUCUUAACAAAAAGACCAUUAAAACCGUGAAAGUGAUGAUGAAGAUUCUCCCCCUAAUAAAUAUGAAUUGCCUGUUGUGCCUGAGGGCUAUGUUAUGGAUGAAGAAAUUGCUAAAGCUAUUUUUGUUUGCAAAGAUAGAUAUGAUCUUAAGAAGUUAUUAGCUAAAUGGAAGCAGCAAUCUCUUAAUGCUAGAAUGAAACCUGACCCUGCUUUUGCUACUUCACCUAUCUGUGUUACUGAUAAGGAUUAUGAAUUCUCUGUUGAUCCUGAUAUAAUUACUUUGGUUGAAUCUGAUCCUUUUCAUGGCUAUGAGUCUAAAACUGUUGUGGCACAUCUUACUAAAUUAAAUGAUAUAGCCACCCUAUUCACUAAUGAUGAGAGAACUCGUUACUUUUAUAUCCUUAAAAUAUUCCUGUUCUCAUUAAAGGGUGAUGCUAAGAUAUGGUUUAAUUCUCUUGAUCCUGGUUGUGUGCGUAGUCCCCAGGAUAUGAUUUAUUACUUCUCUGCUAAAUAUUUCACUGCUCAUAAGAAACAAGCUGCUUUGAGGGAUAUAUAUAAUUUUGUGCAAAUUGAAGAAGAGAGUCUCCCACAAGCUUGGGGGAGGCUUCUCCAAUUACUUAAUGCUUUGCCUGAUCAUCCUCUUAAGAAAAAUGAAAUAUUGGAUAUAUUUUAUAAUGGACUAAGUGAUGCUUCCAGAGAUUACCUGGAUAGUUGUGUUGGUUCUGUUUUCAAGGAAAGAACACCGGAUGAAGCUGAAAUUCUAUUGAAUAAUAUGUUGACAAAAGAAAAUAAUUGGACACUUCCUGAGCCAGCUCCUGAGCCUAUUCCUAAACCAACUCCGAAGAAGAGGGGUAUUCUAUUUCUCAGUCCUGAAGAUAUGCAAGAGGCAAAGAAAUCCAUGAAAGAAAAGGGUAUUAAAGCUGAAGAUGUUAAGAAUUUACCUCCUAUUGAAGAAAUACACGGUCUUAAUUUACCGCCUGUUGAAGAAACAUAUGAUCUUAAUCCAUUACCUAUUGAAGAAAUACAUGGUCUUGAUAACCCGACACAAGUAGUAAAGGUAAACUCUCUCUAUAGAUAUGAUAAAAUUGAAAUCCCUCUUACUAAGUUUGCUAGCCAAUGCUUAGAUGAGUUUGAUAAUUUUAUGGUGAAGCAAGAAGAUUUUAAUUCUUAUUUUGGUAGACAAUUGAAAUACAAUUCAAAUAUGCUUGAACACUUGGGUGAUUAUAUGGCUAAUGUUAAAGGUGAAAUUAAACUUAUUAGCAAACAUGCUUCUAUGGUUACCACUCAAGUAGAACAAGUACUUAAAGCUCAAAAUGAUUUGCUCAAUGAACUGAAUAGUAAGAAUAAUGAUAAUGCUGUUAGAGUUAUGACUAGAGGUGGUAAAAUGACUCAAGAACCUUUGUAUCCUGAAGGCCAUCAUAAGAGAAUUGAGCAAGAUUCUCGGAGAAAUAAUAUAGAUGCACCUAGUUCUUCUAAAAGGAAGAAAAAGAAAAAUGAUAGGACUUUGCAUGCUUCUAGUGAACCUAUUGAUGAAACACCUGAGAAUCCAAAUGAUAUUUCUAUUUCUGAUGCUGAAACACAAUCUGGUAAUGAACCUGAAACUAGUGAUAAUAUUAAUGAUAAUGUUCAUGUUGAUGCUCAACCUAGCAAUGAUAAUGAUAUAGAAAUUGAACCUGUUGUUGAUCUUGAUAACCCACAAUCAAAGAAUCAACGUUAUGAUAAGAGAGACUUUGUUGCUAGGAAACAUGGUAAGGAAAGAGAGCCUUGGGUUCAGAAACCCAUGCCUUUUCCUCCCAAACCAUCCAAGAAAAAGGAUGAUGAGGAUUUUGAGCACUUUGCUGAAAUGAUUAGACCUACCUUUUUGCGUAUGCGAUUAACUGAUAUGCUUAAAAUGAAUCCUUAUGCUAAGUACAUGAAAGAAAUUGUUACUAAUAAAAGAAAGAUACCGGAAGCUGAAAUUUCCACCAUGCUUGCUAAUUAUACUUUUAAAGGUGGAAUACCUAAGAAACUAGGAGAUCCCGGAGUACCAACUAUACCAUGCUCCAUUAAAAGAAAUUAUGUUAAAAUUGCUUUAUGUGAUCUUGGAGUCGGUGUUAGUGUUAUGCCUCUCUCUUUAUAUCAUAGACUUGAUUUGAAUAAGUUGACACCUACUAAAAUAUCUUUGCAAAUGGCUGAUAAAUCAACUGCUAUACCUAUCGGUAUUUGUGAGGAUGUGCCUGCUGUGGUUGCAAACGUUACUAUUUUAAUGGACUUUGUUAUUCUUGAUAUUCCCGAGGACGAUAGUAUGUCUAUUAUUCUUGGAAGACCCUUUUUGAAUACUGCAGGGGCUGUUAUUGAUUGCAACAAAGGCAAUGUCACUUUUCAUGUUAAUGGUAAUGAGCAUACGGUACACUUUCCGAGGAAACAACCUCAAGUCCACAGUAUCAAUUCUAUUGGAAAAAUUCAAUCGAUUAUUUUUGAAGGUUUUGAAUUUCCUCUUCCUACUGUCAAAAGAAAUAUGAUAUUCUUAUUAUUGGGGAUGUGCAUAUCCCCGUUGAGGUAACAUAGUGUUAUUCGAAAUUCCUCCGGUUCCAUGUUAUUCGGAAUGAGUUUGCUAACAAGACUUGAUCAACCAUGUUAACGGAUUCCUUUUGAUGAGCAUGAGAUGGAUGAAACUAGAAGGCACAACUCUCCGUACCCUCCUUUUACUUUCUGUUAUUUAUAUUAAAUAAAAUUAAAAGAAGUAUUUUCCGUCUGUUAUCUGAUUUAUCCGUGCAAUAUAAAAUACCCCGAAAAUAAAAGUUCUCCAAAUGCCUUGAAAUUUAAAUAUGAUUUUUUCUGGAAUAUUUGAGAAUAUUUGGCACUAAGAACACAACACAGGGGGCAUCCACCUGGCCACGAGAGUGGAGGGCGCGCCCUACCCCCCCUGUGCGUGCCCCUUGCCUCGUGGGCCCACGGUGGCCCUCCUCCACUUAUUCCUGCACCCACACACUCCUUCCUCCCAUAAACACGAUUAUCCAGUUCGAACCCAAGUCCAAGCUCAUUUUGCUGCUAUUUUCGAUCUCCUUGCUCAAAGCACCUCUCACAAAACUGCUUGGGGGGAUUGUUCCUUGGUAUGCGACUCCUCCAUUGGUCCAAUUAGUUUUUGUUCUAGUGCUUUAUUCAUUGCAAAUUUAUGUUGUCUAGGUGCCCAUGUUCCUGAGCUUGCAUGUCAAAUUUAUGUGGUUCCAACUAGUUUUGAUGCAUGAUAUAGGCUCUAGGCACUUGUAGGAGUUGUUGCUAUCAAUUUUGUUGAGCUUGGCUCACUUUUAUUUGAAGUUACUAAAAAUUUCAGAAUUUUUCAGAAAAUAAUGAAGAGAUUUUUGAGGGGCUCAUCAAGCCGAAGCUCGAAGGAAAAGCAAAAUGAAAAAGCAGAGAGGCCCGAAUAUAAUCUGCCUCGCACCGCAGAGGUUCGGCCGUGUGAAUGGCCUUCCAAUGAUUUCUUGAGAGCAGUCGGGAUUUAUGAUGAUUUUUAUGAAUUGGCUGAGAAUGUAGGCCUCACCGCCUUCCUCCAUGACCAACGCGAACAAUAUCUCUUACUCACCAAUAUCUUUGUGCAAAACUUUCAUUUCCAUGCUAGGAGCUCACCACCUACGGUGGAGUUUUAUUUGUAUGAUGAGCACAAGGAGAUGUCACUUUACGAUUUCUGUCGGGUUUGAUUGAUCCCUUUCGAGGGCACAAUAGAGGAACCACACCGCGGUGAUGUGGAUGGGUUUAUAGAUACCAUCACUGUAGGGGAAACGAGGAAGGUUUCCGAUGCACGAAUCACUAGCAUACAUUUUCCUGUUUUACGCUACUUUGCAAUAUUUGCUAGUCGUUGCUUAAUUGGUCGCGAAAACUGUGGAAACCUUAGUGUUCCUGAUAUUAUUAUUUUGUUCCACGGUUUAUUCUGUGAUAAAUCUGUUAGUAUGGGCGGUAUUAUUGCUAAACGGUUAAGUCUCAACUGUACAAAGGGCCCCAUCUUUGGAGGCAUCUAUGCUUCACGCCUAACUGCGCAUUUUAACAUACCUAUUAAGCAUUAUGAGAAGGAAGAAAAAUUGCUGCCCCUGUUUAUUUAGAUUAUAAGAGUAUGGUGGCACACGAUUUUAUUGUUAAGAAUAGGAAAGGGGAGCUUAAAUACAAAUUGUUCUUUGAUAAACAUCAUCCUGAGACUAUUACCCUGCCUACUCCUUCCUUGUUUGAUUUAUCUCCAGGCAAGUACCUUGUUCCGUUAGAGGCUAUUCACGCCUACCGGAACAUUGCAUCAGCCACAGAGCCAGAGUCGGAACCACUAGUUGAUCCUCCACGACAGUCUAAUUACCAUUGGGAUCCAGAAAUGAUAGCCACCAGUGGAAAUCAGAGUCUUCUUCGCAGUACGACCCCAACUAUUACUAUGGAUAUCCGCCAGGCCAGCCGUGGCCAUAGACCAACUUAGGUCAAAAGCCUAAACUUGGGGGAGUACGUAUUUCCCGCCGACAUUACAUUCAUGUUCGCACACUCAUUGCUAGAUGUCGGUGCUCAUACUUUUUCAUUGUAUCAUCCAUGCUAGUUCAUUUCCUUUUUAAGCUUUCUUCUUGUGUGUUUAAUAAACCUUAAGAAAAACCAAAAAAACUAGUUGUAGCUUUUAGCUAGUUUUAAUUUCCAUGCUUGUAGUAGUAAUUAAAAAGAAAACCCAAAAAAAGAUUUCUUGUUCUUGUUUUGCUCGUUGGGAGCUUUCCCGUGUAAAUAGUUUUAUUUCUUUUCUUUGGGGGUCGAUAGGAGAAUACCAUGAUUAAAUUGUUGAAGUGGCUCUUAUAUAUAUUUUUUAUCUGACAAAAGAGCCCAUAUUGCCUUGUCUUCUCCAGUUUAUUGAAUGCUUGCAGAUUCCAGCUUAGUCCAAUGCACGCGCACUAUUAUUAUUAUCCACAUCGUUCGGUCGUGCAAGUGAAAGGCAAUUAUGACAAUAUAUGAUGGACUGACUGAGAUGAGAAAAGCUGGUAUAAACUCAACCUCUCUUGUUUUUGUAAAUAUGAUUAGUUCAUCGUUCCUGAUUCAGCCUAUUAUGAAUAAACAUGUUUGCAAUGACAACUAGAGAUCAUAGUUUCUUGUGCCAUGCUUGAUUAGCUAGGAGCUUAUAAUGGUUUACCUUGCGUGCCAACAUGCUAUUAAAAUGGUUGUGAUGUGGUAUGAUAGGGUGGUAUCCUCCUCUGAAUGAUUUGAGUGGCUUGACUUGGCACAUGCUCACGCAUGUAGUUGAAAUAAAAUCAACAUAUCCUCUACGAUAUUUAUGUUCAUGGGGAAUUAUAUCCUACUCAUGCUUGCAUUUGGUGUUGAUUAAUUUUAAUGCAUGUUUAUGAGUGUUGUCGCUCUCUAGCUGGUUGCUUCCCAGUCUUUUGCUAGCCUUCACCUGUACUAAGCGGGAAUACUGCUUGUGCAUCCAAUCCCAUAAACCCCAAAGUUAUUCCAUAUGAGUCCACCAUACCUACCUAUUUACGGUAUCUACCUGCCGUUCCAAGUAAAUUUGUAUGUGCCAAACUCUAAACCUUCAAAUAAAUAUCAUGUUUUGUAUGCUCGAAUAGCUCAUGUAUCAACUAGGGCUGUCUGUAUCUUCCAUGUUAGGCGGGUUAUUCUCAAGAGGAGUGGACUCCGCUCCUCACUCACGAGAAAAUGGCUGGUCACCGGGAUGCCCAGUCCCAUGCUUUAUGCAAAUCAAAUCAAAAUAAUUGCAAACAAAACUCUCCCUAGGACUCUUGUUAGUUGGAGGCACUCGUUGUUUUGAGCAAGCCAUGGAUUGAUGCUUGUUAGUGGAAGGGGAGUAUAAACUUUACCAUUCUGUUUGGGAACCGCCUAUAAUGUGUGUAGCAUAGAAUAUAUCGCCCUCUCUUGGUUGUUAUGUUGACAAUGAAAGUAUACUGCUCAAAAUAUUAUUCACCUCUAUUUCAAAACCGAGCUCUGGCACCUCUACAAAUCCCUGCUUCCCUCUGCGAAGGGCCUAUCUAUUUACUUUUAUGUUGACUCAUCAUCCUCUUAUUAAAAAUCACAAGUUGGAGAGCACCGCUGUCAUUUGCAUUCAUUACUGUUAGUUUACAUUGAGUAUGACUGGACUGGAUCUCUUUUACCAUGAAUUACAAUGUCUAGUCAGUCCUUGAUCUUUAAAGGUGCUCUGCAUUUAUGUUUUGCGGUCUCAGAAAGGGCUAGCGAGAUACCAUCUUGUUAUAUCAUAUCAUGAUUGUUUUGAGAAAGUGUUGUCAUCUGAGAUUUAUUAUAUUGCUCGCUAGUUGAUUAUGCCAUUGAUAUGAGUAAACAUGAGACCUAAAUGUUAUUGUGAAUAUGGUUAGUUCAUAAUCUUUGCUGAAAACUUGAAUGCUGGCUCUACAUAUUUACAACAACAAGAGCAAACAGAGUUUGUAAAAGUUUUUCUUUAUCACUUUCAGCUUAUCAACUGAACUGCUUGAGGACAAGCAAAGGUUUAAGCUUUGGGCAGUUGAUACGUCUUCGUCGUAUCUACUUUUCCAAACACUUUUGCCCUUGUUUUGGACUCUAACUUGCAUGAUUUGAAUGGAACUAGCCCGGACUUACGCUGUUUUCAGCAGAAUUGCCAUGGUGUUAUUUUUGUGCAGAUAUAAAAGUUCUCGGAAUGACCCGAAAAUCAACGGAGAAUUAUUUUGGAAUACAUAAAUAAUACUGGAAGGAAGAUCCACGUCAGGGGGGCCUCCACCUGUCCACGAGGGUGGGGGCGCGCCCUACCCCCCUGGUGCUACCUCUUGAGCACUGCGUUGGUUUUCCCUUGAAGAGGAAAGGGUGAUGCAGUAAAGUAGCGUAAGUAUUCCCCUCAGUUUUUGAGAACCAAGGUAUCAAUCCAGUAGGAGAUCACGCUCGAGUCCCACGCACCUACACAACCAAAUAAGAACCUCGCAACCAACGCGAUAAAGGGGUUGUCAAUCCCUUCACGGUCACUUACGAGAGUGAGAUCUGAUAGAUAUGGUAAGAUAAUAUUUUGGUAUUUUUAUGAUAAAGAGAAAUAAAGAUGCAAAGAAAAAUAAACGGCAAUAGAAAUAACUAAGUAUCACCUGGGCGCACCCCCUGCCUCGUGGGCCCCCUGACGCUCCACCAACCUCAACCCUGACUUCAUAUAUUCACUUUCGGGGAGAAAAAACCAGAGAGAAAGAUUCAUCACAUUUUACGAUACGGAGCCGCCGCCAAGCCCUAAACUCUCUCGGGAGGGCUGAUCUGGAGUCCGUUCGGGGCUCCGAAGAGGGGAAUCCAUCGCCAUCAUCAUCAUCAACCUUCCUCCAUCACCAAUUUCAUGAUGCUCACCGUCGUGCGUGCAUAAUUCCAUCGUAGGCUUGCUGGACGGUGAUGGGUUGGAUGAGAUUUAUCAUGUAAUCGAGUUAGUUUUGUUAGGGUUUGAUCCCUAGUAUCCACUAUGUUCUGAGAUUGAUGUUGCUAUGACUUUGCUAUGCUUAAUGCUUGUCACUAGGGCCCGAGUGCCAUGAUUUCAGAUCUGAACCUAUUAUGUUAUCAUCAAUAUAUGAGCGUUCUUGAUCCUAUCUUGCAAGUCUAUAGUCACCUACUAUGUGUUAUGAUCCGGCAACCCCGAAGUGACAAUAAUCGGGACCACUCCUGGUGAUGACCGUAGUUUGAGGAGUUCAUGUAUUCACUAUGUGUUAAUGCUUUGGUCCGGUACUCUAUUAAAAGGAGGCCUUAAUAUCCCUUAGUUUCUGCUAGGACCCCGCUUCCACGGGAGGGUAGGACAAAAGAUGUCAUGCAAGUUCUUUUCCAUAAGCACGUAUGACUAUAUUCGGAAUACAUGCCUACAUUACAUUAAUGAAUUGGAGCUAGUUCUAUGUCACCCUAGGUUAUGAUUGUUACAUGAUGAACCGCAUCCGACAUAAUUCUCUAUCACUGAUCCAUUGCCUACGAGCUUUCCAUAUAUUGUUCUUCGCUUAUUUACUUUUCCAUUGCUAUUGCUAUCAUCACUACAAAAUACCAAAAACAUUACUUUUGCUAUCGUUACCUUUUGCUGCCGUUACCACUACUAUCAUAUUACUUUGCUACUAAACACUUUGCUGCAGAUAUUAAGUUUCCAGGUGUGGUUGAAUUGACAAGUCAGCUGCUAAUAGUUGAGAAUAUUCUUUGGCUCCCCUUGUGUUGAAUCAAUAAAUUUGGGUUGAAUACUCUACCCUUGAAAACUGUUGCGAUCCCCUAUACUUGUGGGUUAUCAUUGCUCCUGCAGCGGGUCUUGCACAUAGCGGUGCUUCCAGGACGUAAUUCUUCUGUGUAGCAAUGAGGAUAAUCCUCAAGUUACGGACCUAGUCCAUGUAGUUGCUACCAUCAUCUUUCAACUUAGGUUUCUCUACGAACGCAUUAAAAUUCAAAGGGACAUUAGCACGGGCCAUUGAUCUACAACAACAUAGACAUGCAAACUACUAUCAGGUGCUAAGUUCAUGAUAAAUUAAAGUUCAAUUAAUCAUAUUACUUAAGAACUCCCACUUAGAUAGACAUCCCUCUAGUCAUCUAAAUGAUCACGUGAUCCAUAUCAACUAAACCAUGUCCGAUCAUCUCGUGAGAUGGAGUAGUUUCAAUGGUGAACAUCACUAUGUUGAUCAUAUCUACUAUAUGAUUCACGCUCGACCUUUCGGUCUCAGUGUUCCGAGGCCAUAUCUGCAUAUGCUAGGCUCGUCAAGUUUAACCCGAGUAUUCUGCGUGUGCAAAACUGGCUUGCACCCGUUGUAUGUGAACGUAGAGCUUAUCACACCCGGUUAUCACGUGGUGUCUCGGCACGACGAACUAUAGCAAUGGUGCAUACUCAGAGAGAACACUUGUACCUUGAAAUUUAGUGAGAGAUCAUCUUAUAAUGCUACCGCCGUACUAAGCAAAAUAAGAUGCAUAAAGGAUAAACAUCACAUGCAAUCAAAAUAAGUGAUAUGAUAUGGCCAUCAUCAUCUUGUGCCUUUGAUCUCCAUCUCCAAAGAACCGUUAUGAUCACCAUCAUCACCGGCUUGACACCUUGAUCUCCAUCGUAGCAUCGUUGUCAUCUCGCCAACUAUUGCUUCUACGACUAUCGCUACCACUUAGUGAUAACGUAAAGCAAUUACAUGGCGAUUGCAUUUCAUACAAUAAAGCGACAACCAUAAGGCUCCUGCCAGUUGCCGAUAACUUUUACAAAACAUGAUCAUCUCAUACAACAACUUAUAUAUCAUCACGCAAAAACAAGUUAGACGUCCUCUACUUUGUUGUUGCAAGUUUUACGUGGCUGCUACAGGCUUCUAGCAAGAACCGUUCUUAUCUACGCAUCAAAACCACAAUGAUUUUUCAUCAAGUGUGUUGUUUUAACCUUCAACAAGGACCGGGCGUAGUCAAACUCGAUUCAACUAAAGUUGGAGAAACAGACACCCAGUAGCCACCUGUGUGUGAAGCACCUCGAUGGAACCAGUCUCAUGAACGCGGUCAUGUAAUGUCGGCCUGAGCUGCUUCAUCCAACAAUACCGCCAAAUCAAAGUAAGACGUUGCUGGUAAGAAGUAUGACUAUUAUCGUCCACAACUCAUUGUGUUCUACUCGUGCAUAUAACAUCUACGCAUAGACCUGGCUCGGAUGUCAUUGUUGGGGAACGUAGUAUUUCAAAAAAAAUCAUACGAUCACGCAAGAUAUAUCUAGGAGAAGCAUAGCAAUGAGCGGGGAGAGUGUGUUCACGUACCCUCGUAGACCGAAAGCGGAAGCGUUUAGUAACACGGUUGAUGUAGUCGAACGUCUUUGCGAUCCAAUCGAUCCAAACACCAAACGUACGACACCUCCGCGUUCAGCACACGUUCAGCUUGAUGACAUCCCUCGAGCUCUUGAUCCAGUUGAGGCCGAGGGAUAGUUCCGUCAGCACGAUGGCGUGGCGACGGUGAUGAUGAAGUUACCGGCGCAGGGCUUCGCCUAAGAACUACGACGAUAUGACCGAGGUGUGUAACUGUGGAGGGGGGCAACGCCCACGGCUAAGAGAAACUUGUGUCUUUGGGGUGCCCCCCUCCCACGUAUAUAAAUGGGGGGAGGAGGCCGGCCCAAAGGGGGGCGCGCCACAUGUUGGGGGUCCUACUAGGACUCCCUAGUCCUAGUAGGAUUCCCCUCUCCUUUCCUUUUACGGAAGGGGGAAAGGGGGGAAGGAGAGGAGGGGAAGAGGGAAAGGGGGCACGCCCCCUCCCCUUCCUAUUCGGACUCCACUUGGGGGGACGCGCACGCCUCCCCCUUGUGGGUUGUACCCUCUUCUCUCCCAUGGCCCAUAAGGCCCAUGAUUUCCCCCGGGGGGUUCCGGUAACCUCCCGGUACUCCAGAAAAAUGCUCGAAUCACUCGGAAUCAUUCUGAUGUUUGAAUGCAACCUUCCAAUAUAUGAAUCUUUACCUCUCGACCAUUUCUGUGAUCUCAUCCGGGACUCCGGACAAACUUCAGUCAUCAAAUCACAUAACUCAUAAUACAAAUUGGCACGAACGUUAAGCAUGCGGACCCUAUGGGUUUGAGAACUAUGUAGACAUGACUGAGACACAUCUCCGGUCAUUAACCAAUAGCGGAACCUGGAUGCUCAUAUUGGCUCCUACAUAUUCUACGAAGAUCUUUAUCGGUCAAACCGCAUAACAACAUACGUAGUUCCCUUUGUCAUAUGUAUGUUAUUUGCCCGAGAUCCGAUCGUCGGUAUCCCCAUACCUAGUUCAAUCUCGUUACCGUCAAGUAUCUUUACUUGUUCCGUAAUGCAUCAUCAUGUAACUAACUCAUUAGUCACAUUGCUUGCAAGGCUUAUAGUGAUGUGCAUUACCGAGAGGGCUUAGAGAUACCUCUCUGAUACACGAAGUGGCAAAUCCUAAUCUCGAUCUAUGCCAACUCAACAAACACCAUCAGAGACACCUGUAGAGCAUCUUUAUAAUCACCCAGUUACAUUGUGACGUUUGAUAGCACACUAAGUGUUCCUCCGGUAUUCGGGAGUUGCAUAAUCUCAUAGUCAUAGGAACAUGUAUAAGUCAUAAAGAAAGCAAUAGCAAUAAAAUUAAACGAUCAUUAUGCUAAGAUAACGGAUGGGUCUUGUCCAUCACAUCAUUCUCUAAUGAUGUGAUCCCGUUCAUCAAAUGACAACACAUGUCUAUGGUUAGGAAACUUAACCAUCUUUGAUUAACGAGCUAGUCUAGUAGAGGCAUACUAGGGACACUCUGUUUGUCUAUGUAUUCACACAUGUACUAAGUUUCUGGUUAAUACAAUUCUAGCAUGAAUAACAAAGAUUUAUCAUGAUAUAAGGAAAUAUAAAUAACAACUUUAUUAUUGCCUCUAGGGCAUAUUUCCUUCAGGAAGAGCAUCGCGGGUGGGAGGGAGAAGGGGAAUUAAGAGAGUGUGGGUUUGGGUUUGGGCCUCCGCGUGCUAUGUGUACACAUGUGUUGGUGGGUCGAUAGUAGUGGUCCUGGGUUUAUACCCCACGCUACUACUAUGGCCUAUCCCGGGGGUACGGUAGAGACCGCUUAGUAGUAGCGAGGGAUUUAUACCCCUCACUACUACUAUCAACUUAGUAGUAGUGAGGGAUUUAUACCCCUCGCUACUACUAUCAACUUAGUAGUAGUGAGGGAUUUAUACCCCUCGAUACUACUAUGGCCAGUCCCGGGGGGCACGGUGGAGACCACUUAGUAGUAGUGUGGGGUUUAUACCCCUCGCUACUACUAUCAACUUAGUAGUAGUGUGGGUUCUAUACCCCUCGCUACCAAUAAUUAGCAGCAGUGUGGCCCAUAUACCCCUCGCUACGGUUAAGCAUCUAUCUAUAAAGUAUUUUCUAGUAGUGCAUCGAUGGCGGCGAAAUCAGUCGUUCUGCUUGUUUUCCCUACUAGCUCUCUGACGUCCAGAACAAGUUUACGGUCAUAAGGUGCAAUAACCUUGCCUUCAUGAGUGACACGAUGACACGGGAACAGGCUUCCAAGCCUAUGGUGUCGCAUCAUGUCGUGGUCUGCUAGACUUAGUGGACGAAUGCUACUACAAUAUCGGUUGAUCUCAUACUACAAUACCAAGGAAGACACGCAACUACUAUAUAUAUUUCUUCAAGUCAGUCAACACAAGUAAAAUCUGGGAGUUCAACUGGUGCAGCUAUGCAAUGCUAAUGGAGACAACACAAUUCAACUUUAGCACUUCACACAUAAGCAACACCACGUUCAAUGGCACACACCUUAGAGUGUACCUAUGGUGGUUGAUUGGGCUAUAAGAAAUGUGAGUCCAUGUGAAGAUGCCAAAUAUAAUAACACGGCUAAUUACACAUGCAGUGGCAGCAGCAACAAGUGCAUGAAUUCCACAAAUGAUCUAGGGUACACAUGCAACUGUGUCCUUGAGUAUGACAACAACCCUUAUCUUCUAGACAAAUGCAUGGUAUGCUACUAAUUUAUUUGCUAAAUAUUCCAAUGAAUUGUGUCCUUUACUUUGUACAUACCCAAUUAUAAUAUUUUAUUUUGCUAAUACAAUGUAGCCUUCAAUUUAAACCAAGGUUUGCAUCCAUUAAUUAUGUUAGGUUCAUAUGACUUCACUACAUAAAUAGGUAGAUAAUGCAUAAGACUGAGAUUGUAGCUAGGGAUGAAAAUCUAAAUACGGCAUGAAUCUAACAAUUAUGAGUAAUGUCUUUGUGACAAGAACUUUCUUUGUCUUUUAUUCCCAUGUUUGAACUAGUAUAGGUCAGGGUUACACAUUAUGGUGCACAUCACUUUAUUUGUCAUCGUUACAUUGAACACUCAUUGACUAAACAACGAUGAUCCAUCCGUCUUGUAUUACAGGUCUUCAUUUCAUUGGCCACCGAUGCUUGUAAGACUACUCCCAGAUGGUUGUUGUUGUGGAUAUGGUUGUUGAGGUUGGUGUGGUUGCUGGGGGAAUGGUUGUUGGGGUUGCUGGGAAAUUGUUUGUUCUAGUUGCUGGGAUAAUUGUUGUUGGGGCUGCAGAAAUGGUUGUUGUGGUUGUUGUGGUUGCAGGAUGGAGGGUUGCUGGGAAAAUGGUUGUUGCGGUCGUAGGGGGAAUGGUUGUUGUGGUUGUAGAGGGAAAGGUUGUUGUGGUUGUUGAGGGAAUGGUUGUUGUGGUUGUUGGGGGAAUGAUUGUUGUGGUUGCAGGGGGAAUGGUUGUUGUGGUUGCUGGGGGAANNNNNNNNNNNNNNNNNNNNNNNNNNNNNNNNNNNNNNNNNNNNNNNNNNNNNNNNNNNNNNNNNNNNNNNNNNNNNNNNNNNNNNNNNNNNNNNNNNNNNNNNNNNNNNNNNNNNNNNNNNNNNNNNNNNNNNNNNNNNNNNNNNNNNNNNNNNNNNNNNNNNNNNNNNNNNNNNNNNNNNNNNNNNNNNNNNNNNNNNNNNNNNNNNNNNNNNNNNNNNNNNNNNNNNNNNNNNNNNNNNNNNNNNNNNNNNNNNNNNNNNNNNNNNNNNNNNNNNNNNNNNNNNNNNNNNNNNNNNNNNNNNNNNNNNNNNNNNNNNNNNNNNNNNNNNNNNNNNNNNNNNNNNNNNNNNNNNNNNNNNNNNNNNNNNNNNNNNNNNNNNNNNNNNNNNNNNNNNNNNNNNNNNNNNNNNNNNNNNUGGUUGCAGAGGGAACGAUUGUUGGGUCUGGGGAAAUGGUUGUUGUGGUUGCCAGGAAAAUGGUUGUUGGGGCUGUGGAAAAGGUUGUUGUGGUUGUUGGGGUUGCUGGGGGAAUGGUUGUUGUGGUUGUAAGGGGGUCGGUUGUUGGGGUUGGGGAAAUAAUUGUUGUGAUUGCUGGGGAAAUUGUUGUUGGGGUGUGGAAAAUGGUUGUUGUGAUGGAUAUGGUUGCUGUGAUGGAUAUGGUUGUUGUGGAUAUGGCUGUUGUGGAAAUAGUUUUUGUUGAUGGGAAAAUGAUUGUUGAGGUGAUUGUAACUCUUUGUUGUUAGGGUUUAGUUGCCUAGCGGCAAUGGCGGUGUUCAUCGCCAUGGCAAGGAGGACAAAGAUGAGGAAGGUCUUCAUGUUGGAUUUGUGGUUACUACUGCUUGCUUGCCUUUGAUGCUUGUGGUCUAGGUGUGUGAAGUUUUGUUGAUGGAAGGUGUCCUUGGUGGUGCAUGUGUAUUUAUAGUUUUCAUGGCAUGGCUUGCUUUCAUCUUUGCACUCGCUCUUUGAAAAAGUGCAUCAAUGCUUAUCCAACUAAUCAUUUGGUUUGUUGUGUUUGGUGCAACUACUUACUAGUGAGAUUUUGGAUUUUCAUGAUAGUUGUUUUUUGUUGAAAUCAUCUGGUUGUAAGGAAUGUUGGAUAAUGACCAAUGACUCAUCUUCUUCACUUUACACUGCAAACAUUGAUCUAGAUUAUGUCCCUUUUUGAAAUUUAGUUUGUGGAGCUCUACAUGUUGUUAGGCUUAUCCAUAUUGGCAUAGCUUGAGUGGAGCUAAGUUUGUAAGCUUGUGUGCGCCAUUAUGAUGGAUCACACUAUUAAUGUGAUGAUUGUUUUACAAAUUAUCUUUCCAAAACUAACUUUAUGUUUUUUGCCCAAUAUGAUUCUAAGACGGAUAACCAGACAUGACUCAUCAAAUAACAAGAUAAACCGAGUAGCAAGUUGGGGGUUAUAAGUUAUAAUAUGGACUUUUCUCUAAGAUACACCAUCUUGUCUUGCAUGCUCUGUGGAUUUGAAAAGCAUCUACUAAUUUAGAUGCAAUUGAAACAAAAGUAGACUAAAAAGGUAAGCAAUGAAAUGAGAAUACUAUUAUGUGAAGCUCUACAUGUCUGGUAAGCAGUGAGAUACUGGAUACAUCUAUAUCUUCAAUCCUUUCAUCCCUAUCAACUCUUUAUUGGCUGCUUUUAUCGUAGUCAUCCCUUAAAUAAAAAUCACUUAAAUAUAAGUUUGGGAGUUAGUACCAACAUAUAUCAUGUACAAGAUAGAAAACUAAGGCACAUAUAGUAGUCUAUUGACCAUAUUUAAUUUCUUGUGAUGUGAAAGCAUGUGGAGUAUAAGUUGGUUAAAUAUAAAGUUGUCCUUCAUACCAGUAGGGAAAGAAUAUGCAGUAUAAAGAUUAGAGCAUUGGACUAAUAUGCUAUUAAAUGCUACAGGAUAAUUGACAGUUCAAGUUAAGAACAACAUUAGCAUUCCAACUUUUGUCUUGUGCAAGUUAAGAACAUGCUAACAAAGUAACCUAAGCAAAUAAGUGCAAAACCUUCACCUAUAAGGAAAUUGUGAAACUACACAAAAUGACCUAUUGUAAAGAAGGAAAAAAAUCUAAAGGUGAAUGAAAGAACGUUAAGUACAUUCAGGAUUCGAUUAUGCCUUCAUGGAUAACCUUUUAGAUGGUGACAUGUCCAUGUUGAUGUGUGUCGGCAUGGAACGAGGACAAGAAGACGUCGUUGCGUCGUACUUUGGGAAUUUCAUCAAACUGGUUGUGUGCGGGAACAAAUAUUUGUCGCCUCCCUGCUCAAAUCUCUCUUCAUGUCACUGAAUCCGACACUCCACCUACCAAAAUCAGCUGCAAGCCAGGGAUAAUCAACGGGUUUCUCCGCCCGUAGCAUCUAUCACCAAAAGUAGUUCAGACUAUAGUCUUGUAGUUCAAAAUUUUGUAAUAACAAGCACUACUAGGUUGCUUUUGUUUGUACGUCUUCAUUCUGUACAACCCAUGGAACUAAAAAUGCAUUGGUCAUUCUUUGUUCUAUACAACCAAUUCAACCAAAAAUGCAUUGGGCUUUUCUUUGUACAUCUUCGGGUUCUACAACCAAUGCAACAAAAAAUCCAUUGGGUAGUCUUCCAUUCUAGUCGGGCACCAACAGUUAAAUGAGGAGCUAAACAAUGUUGGAGUCUAAAACUACAUACAAUCAUGAAGCAUAGAGAGGCGACUUGGAAGCUGUGCUCCUGUGAGCUCGUAUUUUUGUAGACAAAAAGUAAUGUUUGUAUUUUGAAGUGGGAAAAAAUCCUAAAAAGGGAUGUUUUGCGGGUUAUAACUUACUAUUUUUGGGUCCUGGGCUGCAGGAAGGUCGUCAAAAUCAAUGUGUUUUCCCAUUCAAUGCAUGUUUCUUGGGUUAUAGGUCACGCUUUUGGUGUCCUAGGGAGAUCACUUCCCCGGUCAAGAACAUUAGGUGAUGAUUUUUAGAAAAACUCAUUGUUUUAGCCUAACUAGUUUCGAGGAUUGGUGGACGGGAUUAUCAUGGAACAAAGUGACAACCUUCCUUUUCUUCAUGCCUAAUAUAAACUUAGCAGUCAGCUAAAAGUAACUAGCGAUAUCACAGAAUGUUUUUUGUCAAAAGUAGAUACCACUUCAGGAUUCAACUCGGUUAGUUCAAUCACAGACAUGUUAAGAGCAGGAUUUACAACUAACUGCAUAGGGAACAUCUCCUUUUAUCACCCACUAUCUGUCUGUGCACUUUGGUUUUCCCGUAGCAUCACACAAAGCACUUUGUUAGUACCAAUAAUGUGCUCCAACUCUACACAUUAAUCAUCUUGAAUUCUUCUACUGAUGUCGAACAAUGUAAUAUCUUGAAUUCUUCUAACGAGUUCGGAUUAGACUACAUGGGCAAUUUAUCUGGUCCCUGAGAUGCAAGGUCGAUGAACAAUCGCUUCGUCUUAUGACGAGGGGUUGUUUUUGCCUAAGAAACUAAUACAUGUAACUUCGACACCGGAUUAAUAAAUGGUAAAACCUAAAUAAAUUAGAUCACGAGCUAAACCAUUUACUUUUGUAUGCAUUUAAACUUUUGAUACAUAUGAGCUUGUUAAGAUGUUCGCAUAAACACCAUGGUGAUUUGAAGCAAGACAAAGUAAACUUGAACCGCUUGAGCCACUGACUUAAUAAGAACCUCCUUUCCCGCGGCAGAGAUUGUUUUUAAUACAUCCACUCACUUUGGCCCAUAGUUUGUCUUUGAGAUACUUAAAAGCACUAGACAUAGAAUUGACAAUAUUAGAAGGCAAGCCCAAAUAUUUCACAUUUAGUGUUUCUACUUGGACACUGAGACCACCUUUGACCUCAUUUUUGACAUUCUCUCUGCAAUCCUUGCUGAGAAACACUGAAGGCUUCCUAUUUAUUUAUUCUUGACCUAAAGCUUCAUUGCGUCUUGCCUUGGUCUUGCACUACUUGCGGCACAAUACGCCUUUGGAACUGCCGUUCCGAAUUCAGAGUGCCGAAGGUGGUGUGACGAUGUUGAGAUACCGUACUCGUUCGGUAGUGAUUCGGGUUGAUCAUUCAGAGUAGACUUUGACAAUAGCUGCAAGGACAAGAUUGCAUUAGGGAGCCUUUUAAUUACACCUCGGAGGUGCUCAGCAUCUUCUUGAUGAACAACAUGGUCCUAGUGUUGAAUAAUAUCAUAUGGGGUAGUGCUACAACAACUCCACCACAAGCAUGGAGGAAUUUAGCAAAUUCCAUCAGUACUAGGAGAAAGCCUAGUAGCAACGCGAGGUAAAGGACUACUAGUAGCGCGGGUGCCCACGCUACUACUAGGGUGCUACAGCUAAUUGGUAGUAGUAGCGUGGGUGACACCCUGCGCUACUACCACGUCUGUUAGUAUAGUAGCGCGAGUGUCACCCGCACUACUACUAGUUAUCUGUAGCCCGGGUCUGACCCCACGCUACUACUAACUAAUUAGGAAUUAAAAAAAUAAAUUCCAUCCAUGGUUGCUGCUGCUGGGCGUCAUCGUCCUCUCCGUCCAUGGCUGAUGUUGGUCCUGGAGGGGAUGACGUCGUCCAUGGUGAUGGUACUUCCUCACCCAAAUCGUCCCCACACCUCUCCUAUGCUACUGCUACAAAAUAAGAGAAAACGAUUAGAAGAGGAAGAGAGAUAUUGAGAGGAGUAGGAGGAGCAACUGACCGGUGGCCGCCGGAGUUGGAGCUGAUGCCCGAAACCCUAGACGAUGCCCGGUGACCUGUUGCUUCUUUUCCUGGGACCUCAUGUCCUCACAAGGCCAUGUCUCAGCGAGGAAGUGCAAGUGGUUGCGUAGCAGAUCUGUUCAUCGCCAUUGGUGGCGCUCUGUUGGAUCUUCCUCUCCUUCCAGCAUCGGAGAAGGAGGAGGAAGGAGGCGAAGGUGAGGCGUAAGUCAGUGGCCCAAAAUUUUUAUAUAGAUGAGACUUACUAAGUAAUAACCCCAUAGAAUCUAUCUAUAUAAAGAUAAAGAGGCAAUCGUGUCAGGAAGCGGGUUUUUCUUUGGCCAAAAGGUACUUAGAACUUGGAACGAGCAUGAAGAGAUUAACGAGACUUCUUUCUCUUUUGAGUUUUUCUGGCGGACCUGCCGCGCAAGAUCUUUGGUCUUCCCCUGGAACCGAUGAAAAAAAGUGGAUUGCUUCUUAUGUACUCGCUCAGCUUAAGAUGCUCGCAUAAUCCCCGUGGUAAUUUGAAGCAAUACAUAGAGUAAACUAGAACUGCUUGAGCCACUAACUUAAUGAGAACCUCCUUUCCCGUAGGAUAUAUCAUUUUUUCAAUCCAUCCAUUCACUUUGGCCCAUAGUAUGUCUUUGAGAUACUUAAAAGCAGUAGAUUAGAAUUACCAAUAUCAUAAGGCAAGCCCAAAUAUUUCUCAUUUAGUGUUUCUGUUGGACACUGAGAACACCUUUGACCUCAUAUCUAACAUUCUCUACACAACCCUUGCUGAGAAACACUGAAGACUUGCUAUUAUUUAUUCUUUGACCUGAAACUUGGCAAUAGGUUUGACACAUCUGUCGCCCCUGAACCAUUUGCCUUGAAAAACAGCAGGCUGUCAUCUGCAAAUAACAAGUGGUUAACUGAUGCCACCAAAGGAGCUACUUGGAUUCCAGUAAACUGGGAUGACUAGUCUCUAGAUUUGAGGAGGCCCGAAAGGCCAUGUACUGCUAACAGGAAAAUCAAGGUGAAUUGGAUCUUGCUGCCGUAUACCACGGGUAGGUUUGAGCUCAUCAAGUUUCUUGCUCUUGAAUAAAAUUGAAUAAGAUACAGAAGCUACCAUGCUCAUUUCUAUGGAGGCCCAUUUAACAGAGAAUCCAAAGUUGAGAUUUAUCACCUCCAAAUACGCCCAUUCAACUAGAUUAUAAGCCUUCAUCAUAUCCAAUUUUAGAGUACAAUGGUGAUGUUACAAUGACUUAUUCCUUUUCAUGAAAUGUAAGCACUCGUAGGCCACGAUUAUAUUGUCAGUGAUAAGGCGACCCGGAACAGAAGCCGACUCUUCACUCAAUAUUAUCUCCGGAAGGGCCCCUUUUAGCCGGUUAGCCAGAACUUUGGGUGUUAUUUGUAAAGUUGCAUAGGCUAAUACGACAGAACUGGCUUAGGAAAGUACCAUUUUGUACCUCAUCACUAUCCUCGCCACAAUACAAAGGACAACCAUUGUUACCUCCUCGCCGCAAAUAUCCCAAUGUUUCUCAAAGAAAUGUUCAAAGAAUCCGUCCGGGCCCAAGGCCUUCAUGCGGAACAUUUGAAACAAUACAAUUUAAACCUUGUUGUAGAAUACUUAGCGUCAAGGAAGGCAUUCAUCGCAUCACUGACCUUUACUGGAACCAAGUCAGGAAAUCAUGCAUAUUAGAAACAGUCUCAGAAGUGAAAAGCUCCGAGUAAAACUAUGUUGUGAUCUCUUCCAAUUCCUUAAGAACACUGAUAACAUCACAUUAGGUUGCUACAAUGAUUUGGUCAAAUUAUUCCGCCUUCUCAUCGAAGCCCUUAAGUGAAAGAAGCAUGUGGUCUUGUCCCCACUAAUCAGCCACUUAAUCUGAGAUCUAGUAGGCAAGAUGAGUGACGGGAAGUAGUUCGGAACAAUUUCCUCUUAUUCACUUCUAAAACAAAUUUUCGGUUUUUGUCGUUCCUAAGCCAAGGAUUUGAUAAAUAUUCAUAAAUUUUUAAAAUGUUCACCAAUAUUAAAAACAUCAUGAUUUUAAAAAACCGUGAUUUUUAAACAAAAUCAUAAAUAUGAAAAUUGCCAUUCACAAAAUUUUAAAAUAAAAUCAUGAAUUUUAAAAGAAUUUUCAAAAUUUUGAUAAAUAUCUACGAAUUUUACAACUUUGAUGAAUUUUAAAAACAAACCAUAACAAAAAAACACUAGCAAGUUCGAUCCUAAAAAAUGCCUUGCCUUCUACUAUGCGUAGCGUGCAUGGACAGCCGGACCUAGACACCCUAGACCAAAAACCCUACAUCUGGGCCAGGCCCGAGCUCCAUUUUUUGGCCCAAAGCCCAGCCCAAAAAGGCAGAAAUGGUAAGAAAUGUAUACUUUAUUCAAAAUAUAGGUAUAUUAUAUUGUUUUAGUAUCUCAAAUAAUUAUUUAAAUUGAAAAAUGUCGUUGUUCAUGUGUUUCUGGACGGGCCAAGCCAGGCUCAUGCUUGGGAUUUUUGCUUCGGGCUUUGACAACCUGGCCCGGGGUAUGAUCAAGUUCAGCAUGGCCCAGUCACACACCCUUGUACAACAUUUUGUUGUAGAGAGCGGCAAAUAUAAUUUUCCCGAUCUAAUAUUGCUCGCUAUAAGUCUAUAUCUAUACUUUUUUCUAUACCCAUACUAAUAAAGCAAGGUGCGUUUCCCCAAUUUUUUCAUUCAUUCACUGUCGAAAACAAUUAUGUUUCCUAUCCGAGGUGGUCCUAAAUUCUUAUGCGUUCAUCUGCUAAAAGAAAGGCUUUUCCGGAAUUUCUUACGUGGGUUGCGCGCUAUGGCCAGUGAAGUCAGCCCACUUAUUUUUCUGCCCAUGCAGCUCUAAAAAAUCUAUUUAACACACAGGGCAAGAAAUAGUCGGCACUUCAAACUGGAAAACAAAUAAUGGGCUAGCCAAUUUUUCUUUGUUUCUGUGUUUUAUUUCUAUUUUUAUUCUCCUUCCCCGAUUUCUUUUUUCACUUCCAAGUUUACAUUUCUUAUAGAAUUUAUUUUAUAAAUUCAAAAUUCUCAAAAAACAUAGAGAAUUUUAAAAAAAUGGAAAAUGUUCAUAACUCCAAUUUUUUUGCUAUUUAAAUUUUUUUCAGAACUUGAAUUUUUUCCCUUUUUCCGAAAAUUUUAUUGUUUUUUAAAAUUGUUAGAGAUUUCUAAAAAGAAAAUGGAAAUUUAAAAAGUCUUCCAAAUUCGAAAAAAAAUCAUGUUUUAGUGAAAUUUUCACAACUCAAAUUAUUCUUAAAAAAUACACAUUUUAAAAAGUAAGGAUUUUCAAUACAUGUUCCCGUUCUAAAAAAAUGUUGACAAAUUCAAAUAAUGUUCAUGUUUUUAUUUUAAAAGUUCGUGUUUUCAAAAAUGUUUGUAAAUUCUAAAAGAUGUUCCUAUUUCAUAUUUUGUUCAUGUUUUUCUGAAAGUGUACCUAAUUUUCAAAAAACUGUUCAGGAUUUAAAAAAUGGUUCAUGUUGCCUACAAUAUUGAGAAACUUCAUACCUUAAAAUCUCCUCGAUUGAAGGAACCAUAGAUUGAAUAAUUCAUGGGCCUUCUCUGGUGGACGAUGACGUAGCAAAACUCUUAAAUGCCCUCAAUCAAUGAAUGGAAAAAUAGCGAAUUGAGUACUUCACACCCAGCGAAACAAAGAAGCUAAAUGUUCCCUUUUUACGUGCGCACAGGGUUUUGCUUGCACAAAUAAUUCUCACUAACUUCCAAUGCAUACUAAUUUUUCUCCCAUUGCGAAGCACAAGCAUAUGUGCUAGUUUUAUCCACGGUGGUACUAAAUUUUUUUGAGUCCAUCUGCUAGAAAAAGGAAAAACAGUUUUGUCAAAAUUUUCGUACAUGGGCCGCGCGCGCUGUGGCCCAGCGAAGCUGGCCCAUUUAUUUCCGGCCGAAGCAGCUGAGAAUAAUUAUUUAACGCUUGGGGCGGCAAAUAGACAAAGUUUCGCAUAGGGCGCCAAAUAUUUGGUCGGCCCAUAUUUGUUUUCUCUCUAGUUUGUUUCUUUUUUUAUUUUCCUUUCUCCUUUUCUUAUCUCUUUACUUUUUCUUUUUUCCCUUUCAAGUUAAUUUUUCUUUUCUCCUUUUCCAUAAAUUAAAUUUUUCAAUAUUUCAGAAUUUUAGUUUUGGAUUAAAUUUUCGUAAAAUCUUCAUAAUUAUUUCUCCCCAUUUUGAAUUGUUUUUAAACUAUAAUUUUUUCUUCUUCUUCUUCCAAAAUUUAUUCAAAACUAUAGAAUAAAGUUCGCAUAUUAAUUUUUUUAUGCUUUCCAAAAUUGUUUGAUAUUUUCAAAAUAUAUUGCAUUAAAAAAUUAAAUAUUUAGAUUUUAUUGAAAUGUUAAUUCAAAGUAAUGUUUGUGUUUAAAAACAUGUUUUUCAAAAUUCUUUUCAAUGUCCAAAACACGUUUUCAUUUCCAAAAAAAAUCACGUAUUCAAAACAUGUUUGCUUUCUUAUAAUAGGUUCAUGUUUUCAAAAAACAUAAAUUUCAAAAAAAUUGUCACAUCUUAAAGAAUAUUCAAAAUAUCGUAAUUAUUACUUUAUUUUUUGAAAAAAAUCAAGAAAAACAGAAAAAAAAAUGUAUAUUAUGCUACAGUAUAUUCUUAAAAUUUCGCCCUCGCCAUUUGUUAGCAUGAGCUGUUUGUUCGAGUGGCUAGCAGCACGUGGUCGAGUUUUUGAGGUCAUGAGUUUGAUCCUUCAACUCAGUGGUUGUUUUGGAUUUUUAUUCACGCCUUACAAAUACAAGUCAUUUUGGUACCUGCCAGCGGCCUUGCCAGACUCGAACUGCCGUGCAUCCGACGUGCUAUUUGACGAUAAAAGAGAAUAUGUUGCUUGACUAUAAUUAAAAAAAUGUGGGCACAUGCCAAUAAAAGAGGAUAUGCUGGUUUGACUCUGAUUAAAAAAAUGUUGGCAAGUGAGCGUCGAAAUAAUUAAAGAGAAUAAACCCUGGUAAAGUAGGGACUACCUGGUUACGUGCUUAUUAUACCAAAGAAACGGGAUUUCCUGCAAUUAGUACUUCAACCGGUUACACCAUCAUAGGAGAGAGUAGUCGAAGCAACUAUGCCACGAAGGUCGCCGUGCUGCACAAAAUGAGGAGGCAACCGCAACCUAGACACGGAGGCAGACUCGGAGAAAAAAAAGCGCAAGUUGGGUGGUGGCCACCACUCCAGCAACCCCAUCAAUAUCAAGAACUCGUGGGCCAAACAUGAUCUCAAGAACAUCGCCGGGGAGACCUUUUGAUGGACACAUCAAUUAUCUCUCCUGAUACUUCUCGUUAAAAAUAUCUUUCUAGUUCUAACGCACGGGCAUAUGUGCUAGUGAUAUAUAAAAUAUGUUGUGCCAAUGAGCACACGGGCUAGCGAGACUCGCCAUGCUUUCAUGUCAUACCGGAGUCCAAACACUCAACUGGAGGGUCCAACCUUAGCGACAGAGUCUUCUUUUGUUGGGAGAAUCUAUAUAUCCGCGAGUGUUAUAUCUCGCAUCUGGUUUACGCGCAGUGCACCUAACCACUAGGCUUUGCCUUACAUUCAUGACAGAGUAGUAAAGCUAGAUUGUUUAAGUCCACACGAGUCAAGGUUUUCAAUGUUUCUUCUCCAUUUUUUUUCAUUUUUUCAUUUUUGUUUUUAUAUUUAUUUCUGUCGGGUUUGUUUGAUCCCUUUCGAGGGCAUAAUAGAGGAACCACACCGUGGUGAUGUGGAUGGGUUUAUAGAUACCAUCACUGUAGGGGAAACGAGGAAGGUUUUCGAUGCACGAAUCACUAGCAUACAUUUUCAUGUUUUACGCUAAUUUGCAAUAUUUGCUAGUCGUUGCUUAAUUGGUUGCGGAAACUGUGGAAACCUUAGUGUUCCUGAUAUUAUUAUUUUGUUCCACGGUUUAUUCUGUGAUAACUCUAUUAGUAUGGGCGGUAUUAUUCCUAAAUGGUUAAGUCUGAACUGUACAAAGGGCCCCAUCUUUGGAGGCAUCUAUGCUUCACACCUAGCUGCGCAUUUUAACAUAGCUAUUAGGCAUUAUGAGAAGGAAGAAAAAUUGCUACCCCCUGUUUAUUUAGAUUAUAAUAGUAUGGUGGCACAUGAUUUUAUUGUUAAGAAUAAGGAAGGGGAGCUUAAAUACAAAUUGUUCUUUGAUAAACAUCAUCCUGAGACUAUUACCCUGCCUGCUCCUUCCUUGUUUGAUUUAUCUGCAGGCAAGUACCUCGUUCCAUUAGAGGCUAUUCACGCCUACCGAAACCCUACAUCAGCCAUAGAGCCAGAGUCGGAACCACAAGUUGAUUCUCCAUGACAGUCUAAUUACCAUUGGGAUCCAGAAAUGAUUGCCACCAGUGGCAAUCAGAGUCUUCUUCGCAGUACGACCCCAACUAUUACUAUGGAUAUCCGCCAGGCCAGCCGUGGCCAUAGACCAACUUAGGUCAAAAGCCUAAACUUGGGGGAGUACGUAUUUCCCGCCGACAUUACAUUCAUGUUCGCACACUCAUUGCUAGAUGUCGGUGCUCAUACUUUUUCAUUGUAUCAUCCAUACUAGUUCAUUUCCUUUUUAAGCUUUCUUCUUGUGUGUUUAAUAAACCUUAAGAAAAACCAAAAACAUUAGUUGUAGCUUUUAGCUAGUUUUAAUUUCCAUGCUCGUAGUAGUAAUUAAAAAGAAAACCCAAAAAAAAGAUUUCAUGUUCUUCUUUUGCUUGUUGGGAGCUUUCCCGUGUAAAUAGUUUUAUUUCUUUUCUUUUCUUUGGGGGUCGAUAGGAGAAGACCAUGAUUAAAUUGUUGAAGUGGCUCUUAUAUGUAUUUUUGUUGAUCUGACAAAAGAGCCCAUAUUGCCUCGACUUCUCCUGUUUAUUGAAUGCUUGCAGAUUCCAGCUUAGUCCAAUGCACGUGCACUAUUAUUAUUAUCCACAUCAUUCGGUCGUGCAAGUGAAAGGCAAUUAUGACGAUAUAUGAUGGACUGACUGAGAUGAGAAAAGCUGGUAUGAACUCAACCUGUCUUGUUUUUGUAAAUAUGAUUAGUUCAUCGUUCCUGAUUCAGCCUAUUAUGAAUAAACAUGUUUGCAAUGACAACUAGAGAUCAUAGUUUCUUGUGCCAUGCUUGAUUAGCUAGGAGCUUAUAAUGGUUUACCUUGCGUGCCAACAUGCUAUUAAAAUGGUUGUGAUGUGGUAUGAUAGGGUGGUAUCCUCCUCUGAACGAUUCGAGUGGCUUGACUUGGCACAUAUUCACGCAUGUAGUUGAAACAAAAUCAACAUAGCCUCUACGAUAUUUAUGUUCAUGGUGAAUUAUAUCCUACUCAUGCUUGCAUUCGGUGCUGAUUAAUUUUAAUGCAUGUUUAUGACUGUUGUCGCUCUCUAGCUGGUCGCUUCCCAGUCUUUUGCUAGCCUUCACCUAUACUAAGCGGGAAUACUACUUGUGCAUCCAAUCCCAUAAACCCCAAAGUUAUUCCAUAUGAGUCCACCAUACCUACCUAUUUACGGUAUCUACCUGCCGUUGCAAGUAAAUUUGUAUGUGCCAAACUCUAAACCUUCAAAUAAAUAUCAUGUUUUGUAUGCUCGAAUAGCUCAUGUAUCAACUAGGUUUGUCUGUAUCUUUCAUGUUAGGCGGGUUAUUCUCAAGAGGAGUGGACUCCGCUCCUCACUCGCGAGAAAAUGGCUGGUCACCCGGAUGCCUAGUCCCAUGCUUUAUGCAAAUCAAAUCAAAAUAAUUGCAAACAAAAUUGCCCCUGGGACUCUUGUUAGUUGGAGGCACUCGUUGUUUCGAGCAAGCCAUGGAUUGAUGCUUGUUGGUGGAGGGGGGGUAUAAAAUUUUCCAUUCUGUUUGGGAACCGCCUAUAAUGUGUGUAGCAUGGAAGAUAUCACCAUCUCUUGGUUGUUAUGUUGACAAUGAAAGUAUACCGCUCAAAAUAUUAUUUACCUCUAUUUCAAAAUCGAGCUCUGGCACCUCUACAAAUCCCUGCUUCCCUCUGCGAAGGGCCUAUCUAUUUACUUUUAUGUUGAGUCAUCAUCCUCUUAUUAAAAUGCACCAGUUGGAGAGCACCGUUGUCAUUUGCAUUCAUUACUAUUAUUUUACAUUGAAUAUGACUUGACUGGAUCUCUUUUACCAUGAAUUACAAUGUCUAGUCAGUCCUUGAUCUUUAAAGGUGCUCUACAUUUAUGUUUUGCGGUCUCAGAAAGGGCUAGCGAGAUACCAUCUUGUUAUAUCAUAUCAUGAUUGUUUUGAGAAAGUGUUGUCAUCCGAGAUUUAUUGUUAUUGCUCGCUAGUUGAUUAUGCCAUUGAUAUGAGUAAACAUGAUACAUAAAUGUUAUUGGAAUAUGGUUAGUUCAUAAUCUUUGCUGAAAACUUGAAUGCUGGCUCUACAUAUUUACAACAACAAGAGCAAACAGAGUUUGUAAAAGUUUUUCUUUAUCACUUUCAGUUUAUCAACUGAAUUGCUUGAGGACAAGCAAAGGUUUAAGCUUGAGGGAGUUGAUACGUCUCCGUCGUAUCUACUUUUCCAAACACUUUUGCCCUUGUUUUGGACUCUAACUUGCAUGAUUUGAAUGGAACUAACCCGGACUGACGUUGUUUUCAGCAGAAUUGCCAUGGUGUUAUUUUUGUGCAGAAAUAAAAGUUCUCGGAAUGACCUAAAAAUCAAAGGAGAAUUAUUUUGAAAUAUAUAAAAAAUAUUGGAAGGAAGAUCCACGUCAGGGGGGCCUCCACCUGUCCACGAGGGUGGAGAGCGUGCCCUACCCCCCUGGUGCUACCUCUUGAGCACUGCGUUGGUUUUCCCUUGAAGAGGAAAGGGUGAUGCAGUAAAGUAGUGUAAGUAUUUCCCUCAGUUUUUGAGAACCAAGGUAUCAAUCAAGUAGGAGAUCACGCUCGAGUCCCGCGCACCUACACAAACAAAUAAGAACCUCGCAACCAAUGCAAUAAAGGGGUUGUCAAUCCCUUCACGGUCACUUACGAGAGUGAGAUGUGAUAGAUAGGAUAAGAUAAUAUUUUUGGUAUUUUUAUGAUAAAGAGAAAUAAAGAUGCAAAGUAAAAUAAACAGCAAUAGAAAUAACUAAGUAUCACCUGGGCGCACCCCCCUGCCUCGUGGACCCCCUGACGCUCCACCGACCUCAACCCUGACUCCAUAUAUUCACUUUCGGGGAGAAAAAAACCAGAGAGAAAGAUUCAUCAUGUUUUACGAUAUGGAGCCGCCGCCAAGCCCUAAACUCUCUCGGGAGGGCUGAUCUGGAGUCUGUUCGGGGCUCCGGAGAGGGGAAUCCGUCGCCAUCGUCAUCAUCAACCUUCCUCCAUCACCAAUUUCAUGAUGCUCACCGCCGUGCGUGAGUAAUUCCAUCGUAGGCUUGCUGGACGGUGAUGGGUUGGAUGAGAUUUAUCAUGUAAUCAAGUUAGUUUUGUUAGGGUUUGAUCCCUAGUAUCCACUAUGUUCUGAGAUUGAUGUUGCUAUGACUUUGCUAUGCUUAAUGCUUGUCACUAGGGCCCGAGUGCCAUGAUUUCAGAUCUGAACCUAUUAUGUUUUCAUCAAUAUAUGAGUGUUCUUGAUCCUAUCUUGCAAGUCUAUAGUCACCUACUAUGUGUUAUGAUCCGGCAACCCCGAAGUGACAAUAAUCGGGACCACUCCUGGUGAUGAUCGUAGUUUGAGGAGUUCAUGUAUUCACUAUGUGUUAAUGCUUUGGUCUGGUACUCUAUUAAAAGGAGGCCUUAAUAUCCCUUAGUUUCCGCUAGGACCCUGCUGCCACGGGAGGGUAGGACAAAAGAUGUCAUGCAAGUUCUUUUCCAUAAGCACGUAUGACUAUAUUCGGAAUACAUGCCUACAUUACAUUGAUGAAUUGGAGCUAUUUCUGUGUCACCCUAGAUUAUGACUGUUACAUGAUGAACCGCAUCCGACAUAAUUCUCUAUCACCAAUCCAUUGCCUACGAGCUUUCCAUAUAUUGUUCUUUGCUUAUUUACUUUUCCGUUGCUAUUGCUAUCAUCACUAUAAAACAACAAAAACAUUACUUUUGCUAUCGUUACCUUUUGCUACCGUUACCACUACUAUCAUAUUACUUUGCUACUAAACACUUUGCUGGAGAUAUUAAGUUUCCUGGUGUGGUUGAAUUGACAACUCAGCUGCUAAUACUUGAGAGUAUUCUUUGGCUCCCCUUGUGUCGAAUCAAUAAAUUUGGGUUCAAUACUCUACCCUCGAAAACUGUUGCGAUCCCCUAUACUUGUGGGUUAUCAUUGCUCCUGCAGCGGGUCUUGCACCUAGCGGUGCUUCUAGGACGUAAUUCUUCUGUGUAGCAAUGAGGAUAAUUCUCAAGUUAUGGACCCAGUCCGUGUAGUUGCUACCAUCAUCUUUCAACUUAGCUUUCUCUACGAACGCAUUAAAAUUCAAAGGAACAGUAGCAGGGGCCAUUGAUCUACAAUAACAUAGACAUGCAAAAUACUAUUAGGUGCUAAGUUCAUGAUAAAUUAAAGUUCAAUUAAUCAUAUUACUUAAGAACUCCCACUUAGAUAGACAUCCCUCUAGUCAUCCAAAUGAUCACGUGAUCCAUAUCAACUAAACCAUGUCUGAUCAUCACGUGAGAUGGAGUAGUUUCAAUGGUGAACAUCACUAUGUUGAUCAUAUCUACUAUAUGAUUCACGCUCGACCUUUCGGUCUCAGUGUUCCGAGGCCAUAUCUGCAUAUGCUAGGCUCGUCAAGUUUAACCCGAGUAUUCUGCGUGUGCAAAACUGGCUUGCACCCGUUGUAUGUGAACGUAGAGCUUAUCACACCCGGUUAUCACGUGGUGUCUCGGCACGAUGAACUAUAGCAAUGGUGCAUACUCAGAGAGAACACUUGUACCUUGAAAUUUAGUGAGAGAUCAUCUUAUAAUGCUACCGCCGUACUAAGCAAAAUAAGAUGCAUAAAGGAUAAACAUCACAUGCAAUCAAAAUAAGUGAUAUGAUAUGGCCAUCAUCAUCUUGUGCCUUUGAUCUCCAUCUCCAAAGAACCGUUAUGAUCACCAUCAUCACCGGCUUGACACCUUGAUCUCCAUCGUAGCAUCGUUGUCAUCUCGCCAACUAUUGCUUCUACGACUACCGCUACCGCUUAGUGAUAAAGUAAAGCAAAAACAAGUGUGAUGUCCUCUACUUUGUUGUUGCAAGUUUUACGUGGCUGCUACGGGCUUCUAGCAAGAACCGUUCUUAUCUACGCCUCAAAACCACAACAAUUUUUCGUCAAGUGUGUUGUUUUAACCUUCAACAAGGAUCGGGCGUAGUCAAACUCGAUUCAACUAAAGUUGGAGAAAUAGACACCCACUAGCCACCCGUGUGUGAAGCACCUCGGUAGAACCAGUCUCAUGAACGCGGUCAUGUAAUGUCGGUCUGAGCCACUUCAUCCAACAAUACCGCCAAAUCAAAGUAAGACGUUGCUGGUAAGAAGUAUGACUAUUAUCGUCCACAACUCAUUGUGUUCUACUCAUGCAUAUAACAUCUACGCAUAGACCUGGCCCGGAUGUCACUGUUGGGAAACGUAUUAUUUCAAAAAAAAAUCCUACAAUCACGCAAGAUAUAUCUAGGAGAAGCAUAGCAAUGAGCGGGGAGAGUGUGUCCACGUACCCUCGUAGACCGAAAGCGGAAGCAUUUAGUAACACGGUUGAUGUAGUCGAACGUCUUUGCGAUCCAACCAAUCCAAACACCUAACGUACGGCACCUCCGCAUUCAGCACACGUUCAGCUCGAUGACAUCCCUCGAGCUCUUGAUCUAGUUGAGGCCGAGGGAUAGUUCCGUCAUCGCGAUGGCGUGGCGACGGUGAUGAUGAAGUUACCGGCGCAGGGCUUCGCCUAAGCACUACGACGAUAUGACCGAGGUGUGUAACUGUGGAGGGGGGCACCGCACACGGCUAAGAGAAACUUGUGUCUUUGGGGUGCCCCCUCCCACGUAUAUAAAUGGAGGGAGGAGGCCGGCCCAAGGGGGGGCGCCACAUGUGGGGAGUCCUACUAGGACUCCCUUGUCCUAGUAGGAUUCCCCUCUCCUUUCCUUUUACGGAGGGGGAAAGGGGGGAAGGAGAGGAGGGGAAGAGGGAAAGGGGGGCACGCCCCCUCCCCUUCCUAUUCGGACUCCACUUGGGGGGGACGCGCACGCCUCCCCCUUGUGGGUUGUCCCCUCUUCUCUCCCAUGGCCCAUAAGGCCCAUGAUUUCCCCCAGGGGGUUCCCGUAACCUCCCGGUACUCCGAAAAAAUUCCCGAAUCACUCGGAAUCAUUCCGAUGUUCAAAUGCAACCUUACAAUAUAUGAAUCUUUACCUCUCAACCAUUUUCGUGAUCUCAUCUGGGACUCCGAACAAACUUCAGUCAUCAAAUCACAUAACUCAUAAUACAAAUUGGCAUCGAACGUUAAGUGUGUGGACCCUACGGGUUUGAGAACUAUGUAGACAUGACCGAGACACAUCUCCGGUCAAUAACCAAUAGCGGAACCUAGAUGCUCAUAUUGGCUCCUACAUAUCUACGAAGAUCUUUAUCGGUCAAACCGCAUAACAACAUACGUUGUUCCCUUUGUCAUAUGUAUGUUAUUUGCCCGAGAUUCGCUCGUCGGUAUCCUCAUACCUAGUUCUAUCUCGUUACCGGCAAGUCUCUUUACUUGUUCCAUAAUGCAUCAUCUGGUAACUAACUCAUUAGUCACAUUGCUUGCAAGGCUUAUAGUGAUGUGCAUUACCGAGAGGGCCCAUAUAUACCUCUCUGAUACACGGAGUGACAAAUCCUAAUCUCGAUCUAUGCCAACUCAAGAAACACCAUCGGAGACACCUGUAGAGCAUCUUUAUAAUCACCCAGUUACGUUGUGAUGUUUGAUAGCACACUAAGUGUUCCUCCGGUAUUCGGGAAUUGCAUAAUCUCAUAGUCAUAGGAACAUGUAUAAGUCAUGAAGAAAGCAAUAGCAAUAAAAUUAAACGAUCAUUGUGCUAAGAUAACGGAUGGGUCUUGUCCAUCACAUCAUUCUCUAAUGAUGUGAUCCCGUUCAUCAAAUUACAACACAUGUCUAUGGUUAGGAAACUUAACCAUCUUUGAUUAACGAGCUAGUCUAGUAGAGGCAUACUAGGGACACUCUGUUUGUCUAUGUAUUCACACAUGUACUAAGUUUCCGGUUAAUACAAUUUUAGCAUGAAUAAUAAAGAUUUAUCAUGAUAUAAGGAAAUAUAAAUAACAACUUUAUUAUUGCCUCUAGGGCAUAUUUCCUUCAGGAAGAGCAUUGCGGGUGGGAGGGAGAAGGGGAAUUAAGAGAGUGUAGGUUUCGGUUUGGGCCUCCGCGCGCUAUGUGUACACAUGUGUUGGUGGGUCAAUAGUAGUGGCGCCAGGUUUAUACCCCACACUACUACUAUGGCCUAUCCCGGGGGUACGAUAGAGACCACUUAGUAGUAGCGAGGGAUUUAUACCCCUCGGUACUACUAUCAACUUAGUACUAGUGAGGGAUUUAUACCCCUUGCUACUACUAUCAACUUAGUAGUAGUGAGGGAUUUAUACCCCUCGAUACUACUAUGGCCAGUCCCGGGGGGCACGGUGGAGACCACUUAGUAGUAGUGUGGGGUUUAUACCGCUCGCUACUACUAUCAACUUAGUAGUAGCGUGGGUUCUAUACCCCUCUCUACUAAUAAUUAGCAGCAGUGUGGCCCAUAUACCCCUUGCUACUGUUAAGCAUCUAUCUAUAAAUUAUUUUCUAGUAGUGCAUCAAUGGCGGCGAAAUCAGUCAUUCUGCUUGUUUUCCCUACUAGCUCUCUGACGUCCAGAACAAGUUUACGGUCAUAAGGUGCAAUGCCCUUGCCUUCAUGAGUGACACGAUGACACGGGAACGGGCUUCCAAGCCUAUGGUGUCGCAUCGUGUCGUGGUCUGCUAAACUUAGUGGACGGAUGCUACUCCAAUAUCGGUUGAUCCUAUACUACGGUACCAAGGAAGACACGCAACUACUAUAUAUAUUUCUUCAAGUCAGUCAACACAAGUAAACUCUGGGAGUUCAACUGGUGCAGCUAUGCAAUGCUAAUGGAGACAACACAAUUCAACUUUAGCACUUCACACAUAAGAAAAACCACGUUCAAUGGCACACACCUUAGAGUGUACCUAUGGUGGUUGAAUGGGCUAUAAGAAAUGUGAGUCCAUGUGAAGAUGCCAAACAUAAUAACACGGCUAAUUACACAUGCAGUGGCAGCAGCAACAAGUGCGUGAAUUCAACAAAUGAUCUAGGGUACACAUGCAACGGUGUCCUUGAGUAUGACAACAACCCUUAUCUUCUAGACAAAUGCAUGGUAUGCUACUAAUUUAUUUGCUACAAAUUCCAAUGAAUUGUGUCCUUUGCUUUGUACAUACCCAAUUAUAAUAUUUUAUUAUGCUAAUACAAUGUAGCCUUCAAUUUAAACCAAGGUUUGCAUCCAUUAAUUAUGUUAGGUUCAUAUGACUUCACUACAUAAAUAGGUAGAUAAUGCAUAAGACUGAGAUUGUAGCUAGGGAUGAAAAUCUAAAUACGGCAUGAAUCUAACAAUUAUGAGUAAUGUCUUUGUGACAAGAACUUUCUUUGUCUUUUAUUCCCAUGUUUGAACUAGUAUAGGUCAGGGUUACACAUUAUGGUGCACAUCACUUUAUUUGUCACCGUUACAUUGAACACCCAUUGACUAAACAACGAUAAUCCAUCCGUCUUGUAUUACAGGUCUUCAUUUCAUUGGCCACCGAUGCUUGUAAGACUACUCCCAGAUGGUUGUUGUUGUGGAUAUGGUUGUUGAGGUUGGUGUGGUUGCUGGGGGAAUGGUUGUUGGGGUUGCUGGGAAAUUGUUUGUUCUAGUUGCUGGGAUAAUUGUUGUUGGGGCUGCAAAAAUGGUUGUUGUGGUUGCAGGAUGGAUGGUUGCUGGGGUUGGGGCUGGGGAAAUGAUUGUUGUGAUUGUUGGGGUUGCUGGGAAAAUGGUUGUUGCGGUUGAAGGGGGAAUGGUUGUUGUGGUUAUAGAGGGAAAGGUUGUUGUGGUUGUUGAGGGAAUGGUUGUUGUGGUUGUUGNNNN